UUUUUUUUUUCUGGUUGUAGCAACUAGCAACCUUUAUGUAGGAUUAUAAUAUAUCAAACAGCCCCUUUCCACAGAUUUAAAUUUAAUUCUAAGCACAUUUAGUGGGCAUAUAAUGAUAUUUUUAGUUUGAACAUGAAAGAAGUGCCUGUUUUCAGCACCAGCAUGCCCAUUGACUUCAUACAAAAUAUAGUUGUCCUUACUCCUUACCAAUUUACCAUCCUCAACAAGUAAAGACUAAAGAGAACACUUUAUGUUAUAGGCUCAUGAAAUAGACAAGGUUUGCUCUAAUUUUGCCAUCACACAGAUUCAUAUAAUAGCUGUGGUCGUUUACAGGAGAUGUUCUUGGGUCCAAUAAAACACUUCCACAGAUGCAUUGCAGUAGCUCCUUAAAAUACUAAUUUUGUUGAUAUAAGAAGACAAAUCUGAUAUCUUGAGCUAUUGCAUUUAAAAAGUACCAUAUGUUCGAGAACUAUAUGAAAGAAAAAAAAUGUAUGUAAUUUUGCUGAAUCAGCAUAUCUGUGAAACAUAUGGGUUGGAAGCUGUACCUCAUGAACGGUUUUAUACGUGAUAUUGACCUUUCAUAACCAUCUUCUGAAUCAUUCUUUGCAUUAUCAUCUGAUGCCUGCUCCACAUCGUUGUCUUCUUCAUUUUCUCGUCUUGGUUUUGCUUGUUGUCUUGAUGUAGGCUUCCAGCUUGCUUUGGCAAGUGACUUAGCAAGUAAAUCUGCAAUAUUUAUUGACAUUUCCUCAGCUUUCUGCACAUGAGGAAAAUGAUCUUCCUCAAAAUGGUGUGACAACCACAAGUACAUUGACAGGACCUGAUGUUUUGUCUCAAGGUCCAGAAGCUCAGUGUCGUUCUUUGCAGAACCCUUUGGCAUUCCCAUUGCAAUGCUAACACGACGGCUUUGGCUAUAGUUUGUAGCAAAUCUCAGAAGAUGGUACAUGGCUUUUGGAUCCCUUAUAUUCACUGGAGCAAAACAAAAAUUGUAGCGAUCCUUGAGGGAGAGACCCUGGAUCCUCUCAAGCAUAUUAGCAACCUUCUUGAUACUUUCCUGGUGACACAUGAAGUAUGUACUGUCGACGCGGCAAUUUUCACGGAACUUAUCCAGCAGUUCAUUGAAGGUAAGGUCAGGAAACUGGAUGGCAAAACUUUCCACCUGCUCAAAGCAAGGGAAUAGACCAACUUUCUUCGCUUCCUCAAAUGGCUGCUGAAGGCACUGGAUCAAAUAAUCCAAAUCAUCCAACAAGAAGGUGGUUGUCAGCCCAUCUGGGUAAAUACUGCCUCUCCGACCAGCUCGCCCAGCAAUCUGUUUUACCUGUGAAGCAGCAACAGGUACCAUCCUGUCCCCAUUGUACUUGGCCAAACUAUAGAAUACCACUCUCCUAAUGUUGAGGUUCAAUCCCAUACCAACAGCAUCACUUGCUACAAGCACAUCAUACUCAUUAUCCUGCUCAUUAAACAGCUUUGCUUGCUGCCGCCGUGUCUCUGGUGGAAGAGCUCCAUAUAUAACGCAACACUUGUGCUUCGUAAACUUCUCGAUUGCCAGUUUCACCUCAAAUAUCUCUCUGCGUGAAAACGCGACAAUGCAGUCACCAGAGCGCACAUUCUUGAGGUCUCCAAGCAGUGUCUUUGCUUCAACAACAAGCGGUUUGAAGCGCUCAUAUUGAUGCACCUCCAAAUCAUCUCCAGUAUCUGCGCAAAUCUUCCGAACAAUCUUCAGAACACUAGGGUCACCACAGAGAUGUAUCUCGUCUGCCUUGAGCCCAAGAACGGCUCGUGUCCACGCAUAGCCCCUGACAGGGUCAGCCAUCAUCUGUAUCUCAUCAACCACUGCAACCUCGUAGGGCUCCUCCGUGGAGAGCAUUUCGAUCGUGCACGCGACGUGGUUGGAGAAUGGCACCUCCUUGAUCUCCUGUCCAGUGCGGAGGCUGCAGUAGACGCCCAGGGCAUUGACCUUGUCGAAGACCUCCAUGGCGAGGAGCCGGAGCGGGCUGCAGUACACGCCGGACUUGGCGGCGGCGAAGCGGGUGAGCGCGUUGUGCGUCUUGCCGCUGUUGGUGGGCCCGCAGUGGUACACCACCCGCCGGCGCAUGGCGCGGGCGAAGGGGUACCACGCGUGCGGCGCCGUGAGGUCCGCCGCGGCCAUGACAGACUCGUGCUUCCUCAGCUCGUCCGCGAGGUGGGUCACGCAGAACUCAGCGAAGGCCGGGAGGAGGAGGGCGUGCGCGUCGUCGGCCGGGAGGGAGAGGAGGUGCUCGGCGGACUCCAGGGAGAGGCGCGCGGGGAGGAAGUGGCGGAAGCGGCGGGCGUAGGUGGGGAACGCCGAGGCGGGGAUGUAGAGCGCGAGGGCUUGGUCGGACAUAGCCGGGUCCUUGCCGAAGCGGCGGAGGAGCGCCACCACGGCGUCCCACGUGGCCUUCGGGAGGCGCGACGCGCCGGUGGCGGGCUCCGAGGUCGACACCUCGCGCCAUAGCUGCUUCCCGUCAAGAGGCGGCCGCGGCUUACUGUCCCCCUCGGCGGUCACGUCGGAGGAGAAGAAGAAGCGGUGGUGGGGCGGUGGGUCCCAGGGGGAAGGGGAUCGGGGCGCGGCCCGCUGGAGGUGGGAGAGGAGUGGGAGGAGGAGGAUGCGCCGGUGGUGUUGAGAGGAUGUGGAGCGGCGGAGGAGUGCGGCGGCGAUGGCGGCGGCGGCGGCCAUGGAGGGUAGUAGGUCGGGUUAGGAGGCGGCCGGCGACAUGGGGCAAGGGGAAGAAGGGAGAGGCGUCGCGCGACAGGCGGCGGCCCAGUAAUUGGCCGUGGGCCGAGUUGGGCCUCCAGCGGAGUCGGCGGGGUUGAUAGCUAACCUUUGAGAAAAGGAAAAAGUACACCGAAGGUCCCUCAACUUGUCAUCGAGUUACAAAAUCAUCCCCCAACCACAAAACCAGAUAUGAAACAUCCAUCUCAACUUACAAAACCGUUUACUUUAGGUCCCUCAGUGGUCUUGAGCCCGAUUUUAUCCCACGUAGUGGCCGAGUCAGCAUGUGACCCACAUGGGCCCCACAUGUUAGGAUGCCACGUCAUCCCAUCCUCUCCCUUCCUCCUCUAUCUCCCUCUCUCACUUCUCUCCUCUCGGAGCAAAUGUUUGUUAUGGGUUGCUUCUUAUUCCUCAAGAUGAGGGAUGUUUCAUAUCUGGUUUUGUGGUUGGGGGACGAUUUUGUAACUCGAUGACAAGUUGAGGGACCUUUGGUGUACUUUUUCCUUAAGAAAAUCCGCCCAUAACAAACAUUUUCUCCAAUCAAAGAAUACCACAAAAUUUUUUGAAUGCCAAAUAAUACCACAAAGAUAACCAAAUUUUCCAUCUAUACCACGAAAUCUAAUAACCAAAUUUUCCAUCUAUACCACGAAAUCUAACCUCUCCUCUCAUGACAGCCAAGAUUGAAUUGAUUAAUCAUCAAGACUACGACAAUAGCAGCGAUGACGCCAUCUAGAUCGAGCUCCAGCCGAAGCCUCGGUGUGACCACCUCGUCCUUGGCAAUGGCAGACACGACAAUGGCAUCUAUCUCAAGCUCCGGAAGAGGAUGAAUCCACUCCAAAGAUCAGAUGAGAGGGGAUGAGGAGAGAAAGAUGAAUGCAUCAUUUGGUUCUUUAUGUGGUAUUGAUUGGUAUUGUGAAAAUUUUGUGGUAUUCUUUGAUUUGGGAUAAAUUUUUGGAUCACGGAUAGAAUUUUCUCCGUAUUUUAUCUUAACCUUUGAGGGAGUUAAGACUUCGAGGUCCAUGGUUUACCAGAAGGGAUGAAAAAUGGAUCGGUUAUUUUUCUGUUUUGGUCCGAAUCCAAUAGAACUAAUAAUAUGGUAAAAUAUUUUGUAAAAUCUGGCGUAUUAGGAUUAGAAUAUGGUAUUGCUAAAAUUCAAUGAUGCAUAUUAUCCGAUUUUUUAAUGCGAAUUAUCUAACAAAGUGCUAUCCAGAUAAUUCAAUUUUUAAUAACUAGCCAUAUGAUUAUAUUGCUAUCAUAGCUCAACCAAAUGAUUUGUUUGUUUUUUUCUCUUACUAGAAAAAAUGCCUGUGCGUUGCAAUGAGUAAAUACGUUUUUUCAAUGAUAUAUUAAGAGCUGAGCAACAAAUUGAAAUAUUGAGAUCGCUAUACAUUAUAAUUGAAAAAGUUAAUGAAAAUUCUAAUAUUGGGAUCGCUAUAUAUUAUAAUUAAAAAAAGUUAAUGAAAAUCUUUCUUGGGUUUUGGGGCGAAAGCAUUCCUUACUUUUCAGCCCUAGGCCAGUCCGCUACCUCCCUCUAUUUAGCUUGCUUGUUUCGACCCAGUCACGAGUGAAGCCGUUUUUAGCCCUAGGUCGGUCCGCUACCUCCUUCGUUUGGCCUGCUUCCUUCGACCCAUCAAAUCCGGACGAAUCUUCCUCAAUCACCCAAAAUUGGUUGAGGGUUUUUUAUCCGGCCACUCACCUUUUUCCGUUUUACCCAAAAUCAGAGCAUAAAACUCGGGAUAAAAAUAAUCGGGAAAGAUCGCCGUCAUCAUCGGCAACCGUUAGAUUAAAUCCGACAAAAUAAAGCGAGGAAAAUCAUAGAGAGAAUGAUGAGGGAGGAGUAGGAAUCGAUUUUUUUAUUUGCAAUCAAAUUGGAGGGAAAACGCACGAUCGAUAUGGCGCUAGCGCGUCGCCAGGGUUCAACUUGGUACACGUGCCGCGAAUAGAUCGGAUUAAAAAAAACCAGAUGAGAAAAACCAAAAUCGCAUGGGAUAAAAAACCGGUGAAAAAAAUUGACAAAAAAAAAACAAAAGCGCCCGGGAGGCGCGGUGUGAUUGAAAAAACCAGAAAAAAAAACCAAUAACGCGUGCGCAGGAAAAAAACUCUUUAGCGUGAAAAAAAAAUCGCCAGUAAAAAAACACAAACGGACUUUUUUUUUUGUUUUUUUACUGGCGAGACUUUUUCCCCCUUUUUUUCCUUGAGUCGGACGAUUUUCUUUCUUACAACGAUAGAAGCUUUUUUAUCCUUUUUUUAGUCGGACUUUUCUUUUACCUUUUUAGUCGGACUUCUUUUUCUUUUUUACCGACUUUGGAAAUUUCUUAUUCUUUUUAAGUAGAGAUAGAGAUACAGAGAUUAAAACUGAAAAUAAAAUUAAAACCGAUUCAAACACGGAUGACGUAUCAAAGUACCGAUAAAAACAUCUUAAAUUUUUAUAAUAGUAGAUAUAAGCUCUCUAUCUAGUUUGUAAGUCUAAUUAGCUUUAUUGUGUGGUGUGAUGUUAAGUGUUUCUAAUUCUUGUUAUUAUUGUAUUACGUUGUAUAUGUAUGCAACAUCCGAUAUUUUUGAUUCGUUUAUAGGCCGUGUUAUCUUCGACUCUAUAUCAUUUUCAACGCUACAUCCACACCAAAUCCCAAUCCGCUAAAAUAAUUUGGUAUCCAUUCGAGUAUCCGAAUCCAUACUGUUUUCAACCCUUAGGCUAUAUUCGAUUAAUCCCCACAAACCCCUCCAAUCCUCUUCAACACUCUUUAAACCGAGCAAGGCCUUAAGGGGACUGAGUGCAAAUACAUGGGGACCUUUCUGAAAAAAAAGUACAAAAAUAGGGGCUAUUUGGAAAGAGGGGGCUCUGUCAAAAACAGCAUCGUGUGGCCUGUUUAAUUGGGCUGAGAUGGUCUGGGCCGUAUGCCCGUACACCUCUCCCAUCCGGCCAUCCCCCACGAUACCGUCAGUCCGUCACGCCCCAGAAUUGGUGUGAGGUUUCAAAUCAUCUCGCUUCACGGUGGUCGCUCGCAAGCCACACACGCACGCACCCCCACCACUCCUCCCAUUCGAGACCCCGCGGGGCUCUGGAUUGCUUGCUCGGAACCUGGGAUGCACUGCCUCGCCUGCGCCGCUCCGGCCGCGCGCGCCCCGGGCAGUCGCGUCGGCGGCGGCGGCCGCCGGAGGAUGGCUAUCGAGUGCGCCGCCUCCUCCCCCUUCACCCGCGACGGCGAGGAAACGGCCCCGAGGUAUGCCCGCCCCUUGCCCCUGCGCCAGAAAUUUUGUUCUAACCGGGUGGUUUUCAUCGGUACAAUCUGGUGGUUCUGGAUAACUGUAUUGCGUAGUUAGUGUAGGAUGGCCCAAUUUGGGUACCUUUCGCUUGCUGAAUCUCGGUUGCUUCUAGCGGGAGAUUAUUGAUUAUUCCAGUUGUGUUCCGUUUGAUAUCUAGUAGAGUAGUAGUUGAUGAAUUUUUAGGGGAAAAUUCGAUGUGCGAGAACAUUCGUGUUAGUUAACUCACCAUCAAGCAGCGUCCACAUUUUCUCAUGUUCUGUUAGUAGUAUUUGUCUUUUGCACGGCGCUCACUCUGUGACUAUGUGCACCUGCAUUAGGUAUUCAUAGUUGGUUGACCGUUUUCCUAUUCACUCUAUCUGUUUAUGUUUAUCUGAAAUUAUAUUCCAGGUCAAUGAUGGAAACAUAUGGUGAAAUGUCAAGUAAACCUGUAUUGCUUGCGUCAAGGAGGAAGCUUGUUGCAUUAUCAUCGUUUUGCUUUUGCUUACAUUCUUCAAGGUACUUCUCAGGUUCGGACUAAGUGGCAUGAUAAUUUAGGUGUUAAUAGAAAUUAACUCGAUCCUUGUCAGUUGUCACCUACCCAAAUGAUUGCUUUUGUAGUAUUUAAUUUACUCUAUAAGUGUUCAUGCUUUGUAACUUACAACUCCUUAAAUACAGCACUUGCUUUGGGUGAUCCAUCUGUUAAAAUUGAUGAUGUCACUCCAAAGAUUUUUCCAUCUGGUCCACUGUUUCCAACUGAGGUCAGUACUUAGUUGAACCCACUUUAUCCUAUUUUACUUCUUCCAAAAAUAUAUUUACAUUUCUUUGGAUAUUUCUUCUUUUAUGGCUUGCAUGGCAGAAACGGAUCGCAGAGCUUUUUGAAACAAAUACUUACUCUGUUGUCAACAUUUUUGAUGCAACUCUGCGCCCUCAGCUCAAUGUAACUGGUGUUGUUGAGGUAAAACUAAAAUGUGCUUUCGUGUUAUAGGUUAGAGUAGAGUCAAGAGUAUGUGUUAGUUGUUGCUCAAAUUGACAAAUGCAUCACUAGUAUUCUCCAUAGAAGCACUAGGAUAGGACAAGUCUGGCAUUCUUUCUUUCUGAACUGGUGAUUCGAUCAAGCUAAAGUUAGACAAGGAAUUGCUGAUUUAUUGUCUUGAUGUCCUGUAUAUCUUUCGCAGAUAUCAUGUGUAGAGUCUUAUUGUUACUUUUAAUAGAAAUUUUAGAAGCCCUUGUUUGAAAGAAACUUCUUAAUAUUCAUUAUAGAUUCCCGAAGGAAAUGGUUCUGGCGUAGUUUGGGAUGAUUCCGGCCAUAUUGUUACAAACUACCAUGGUAUGGCAGUCAGUAAAUUAAAAACCCAUCAUAUGUGAGAGAUCUAAAUUCCUUCAUACAUAAUUAUGGUGCUUGACCCUUUCACCCUGUUGCACACUCAUCUUAUUCAUUUUAAUUGUUGGUGCAAUGACAGUGGUUGGCAAUGCCCUUUCAAAAAAACCAAAGCCUGGCGAAGUUGUUGCGCGUGUCAACAUUCUUGCUGCUGAUGGGUAAAUUCUAAUAAAACUGCAUUUUACAGGAUAGUUUCAUGAUUUAAUGUAUAUACAAUUGCAAUGUUCCUUGUAUAUGCAAGCCAACUAAUCGUUAAUGCUCUGGUGCUCUCCUAUAUCUACCUGAAAGGAUACAGAAAAAUUUUGAAGGCAAAUUGGUUGGUGCUGACCGUUCUAAAGAUCUUGCUGUUCUCAAGGUGAGAAGUCUUUUGAUUAGCUAUAGAGAAUUGUCAUCUAUCAUCACUAUGUUUACCAUAGGUUUCUCUCAUCUCAUUUCGGUGUGCAACAUUUUAUAUUAGUCAUUCAAUUCAUUUCAUCUCCCUGGUGGCCUGGCAUGUACAUGCCUCAAACUCUCAUUAAUAUCCUUCUGUCGUUAGCCAAGGAUUUAACUAUCUGCUCAUUUUUAUCUCACAUGGCAUAUGUCAUGGACUAAGAAAAUAAAAAGGGAGUAGAAAGUGGAAGUAACAGAAAAAGAAAAAAAUGAUACUUUUGGAGUUUUAGUUUCAUAAGUAAAAAUUCAUCUCUUUAGCCAACUGCUUCAGUUUUUCCCUUUUUGUUGUUUUGUUUUGUUAUGGUAUAAUAGUUUAUUUGUGACAGUAACACAACAUUUUCUUCUGUUGAGUUAGGGGUCCCAUGCUAUUUGAUUGAAAUGUUUUUUGAAGAGUUAAGUUACGAAACUGAGGGGGGGGGGGAGGGGGGGAGGUUCCUUUCAGAGGUCAAGAAUACAUACUUUUGUUUGCCCCGUCCUUUCUUCUUUUACGGAAAUAGUAUAUGUAUGUUUUUAGAUACCAAGAUGUUUUUAUUUACCUACUCAUCUUAUGCCUGCCUUGUCCCAAUGGAAUCUAGUUCAAGGACAACCAAUGGAAGGGCUGUAUUAGAUAAUUUUACGGUUUGUUAGUGCGUAAAGUCCUGUUGUGAUUUUCACCUGAGCUCAAAUGUUGUCAGACAUAGUACCUCAUAUAUGGAUUAUGGACAUGCAAUAGGUGGAUGCUCCUACAGAUCUGUUGAAGCCAAUUAACGUGGGACAAUCUUCAGCUCUAAGAGUUGGUCAACAGUGUUUAGCAAUUGGAAAUCCAUUUGGCUUUGACCAUGCUCUAACUGUUGGUGUCAUCAGUGGUUUAAAUCGAGACAUUUUCAGUCAAGCUGGAGUAACAAUUGGAGGUGGAAUUCAAACAGAUGCAGCUAUUAACCCUGGGAACAGGUUUGUAGAUAUGUUUCUUUAAUGAUUUAUCAACUGAUUACCCUUUUCUGGUCUCAGAACCCAACCUGGAAACUACCAUUAGUUGUACUGGUUUACAUCUGUAUAUUACUUACUGACAAGCAUAAACACUUUUGUCACUAGUUACUUGAUGGCUAUACUGUAUUACUGUUUAUGGUUUCUACUAUGCACAAAAUGAUAGUACUUGCCUAUAACAGUGCAAAACAGUUGACUCAGGACACAGAAGAGGAAGUAUUUUACUUCUUACUUUCUUGAGUUUCUAGCAUCGCAUCUAAAGUCAGGACACAUAGAUUGGGGCUAAAUUGCAGCUCUGGCAGUUGGCAUAGUGGUAAUAUUUGUUGCUACCAGUUUACUAUAUUAGGGUAGAAUUUGAUCAUAUUUGUGGUCAAAAUCAGCUUGACCAUGUAUGCCCUCGUCCUUGAAGUGAUUUAGUAUGCAUUACCUGUACUCUGGGGCAAUGAACAUCUAGGGUUAAGGAUCAUGUUGUAAGUAGUGGUUUAUACAAUAUGUGUUGGAUAUUUAUGUUUCUGAAAAUGUAUUAUAGAGGGUUUUACUAAGCAUGUAUACUGAUGUAUGUCCAUGCAGUGGUGGUCCAUUGCUGGAUUCGAAGGGGCAUAUGAUUGGUAUUAAUACAGCAAUUUUCACACAGACAGGUUAGAUUAUCUCAACAUGAAAUGUAUUAAUCAAAUAGCACUGAAUUGUUUCAUGCUGAUUUGCGGAGGUAACAUUAGUAGAUGUUCAUGCUUUCUCUACAGAUGUCAAGCACUGCACUUAGCAUUCAAAAGAGAAUAUGUCCAAUUAGUAAAAGUUCAUCCUCAAUAAACUAAAAUGAUCAUAACACAUUGCAAAGCUUGCCUCGAUCCCUGUACAUCAGUUCAUUUCCCAGAGUACUCUGGUUGAUGGCACACUUUGAGUGACUUUCUAUUUUGAUGGCAUGAUUAGUGAGUGGUAUCAUCUAUCAUGUUUAUAUUCGGAUUCACAGCAUUCUUUGAAAUUGUUAUUUGCUUGCAUCCUAAUGGGCUGUAAGAAUUGACAUAAUUGAUUAUAGUUGACUCAAAAUCACCUCCUUGAAGCUGUGCAUUAGACCAUUUGUUUUUGUUGUUGAUUUGGUAGAGCAUAAAUCAGAUAUUCAGAUCCAACUAUGUCCAAUGUAACUUAAAUUCCUAUGUUAGUCUGAGAUUCCAUUAUUUCUUCAAUGUCGCAGGAACAUCUGCUGGUGUUGGUUUUGCCAUCCCGUCAUCAACUGUUCUGAAAAUAGCUCCUCAGUUAAUUCAGUUUGGAAAAGUAUGUUGCAUGGAUAUCUUUCAAUAACAUCAUCAUCAACCUAAUAACAUACGUAUUUUCUAAUCAUCCCCUUAGAAUAAUGUGUUAUGUUUAUGGAGAUGCCAUAUGUAGGUAUAUGUUUCAUGCAUUAGAUGGCAUCUUAUGGAUUGUGAUUCUUUAUCAAUAAUCAAUAACUGUGGUUGUCAUGAUUUUAGACCAACAUGCUGUGAAACAUGCUCAGAGUCAACUUUAGGUGUUAGCAGUAGGAGGAAACUUUCGGUUGAUAAGUUUUUGUAAAUACUAUAGGGACCUUUUCCAAAGAUAGUUAAAUUAAUUUUGGUCUGAGUUUGGCCCAAAACUUUGCCCUCCCCUCCUGAAAACUCUCUUGAAACUUUGUGAACACUAUUGCUUGAAUGUUUUUGUUGCAAAAAUUUUGAGCACAGAUAAAUUUUAGAUUGCUAUUAAGAACCUUCUUUCUUUUCCAUUGCCGACACAUGUGCUUAGCAGUUAGCUUCUGUAUUCUAUUUUAUUUUAAAUUAUGCUUACACUCCUCUCUUAAGGUUCGCCGUGCUGGCUUGAAUGUGGAGUUUGCUCCAGAUCCAAUCGCAUAUCAGCUUAAUGUUCGCACUGGAUCUCUAAUAUUGCAGGUAGACUGAGUUGGUGUAACCCAUAUUUUCUGUUGGCCAAACUGGAUUCUGUUCAUAAUAUUUCUGUUUCUGCAGGUUCCUGGGGGCAGUGCUGCAGCCAAAGCUGGUCUUGUUCCUACCAGUAGGGGUUUUGCUGGUAACAUUGUUCUUGGUGAUGUCAUUGUUGCCGUGGACGGUAAACCUGUAAGUGUUGAUUGGUUAACAUUAAACUGAUUUUAUAGCCUUCUGUCAGAAUCCUUGGAUGCUAUGUACUAAGGUAGCCUUAGUCCAGUCUCUGUUUCUCAUGUUGGAUCUUUUGGAGCAGAUCAAAGGCAAAUCUGAUCUAUCGAGGGUUCUGGAUGAUUAUGGCGUUGGAGACAAGGUGAGCUUGACAAUCCAAAGAGGCGCUGAAACUCUGGAGGUAACCUUGCCUUUAGAAGAGGCAAGUAUCUGAUGUAUUUCUAGCAGUAAGUUGGCAUCCCCGAUCUAUUGCUUUUGUAAAUAUCGCAUUUGCUGAGCUGUUCAUGCUUCCAACCUGAAGCCUUUUUCGUUUGUUUCUUAAAUACUAAAACGAAUCGAUUCAGAACUCUCUCUCUCUCUCUCUCUCCUCUCCAUAGAUGGUGCCUCAAUAUACAUCAGAGUUUCUGCUUAUUAUACGUCAUAAUCCUUUGAAGAUUAUGAUGCAGUCAGUCCAUCCUGAUGAUCUCAUUGAUGUAAGUAUAUGUAGGUAACCAGCUGAAAUUCCUUCUCUUUUGGGGGGUUAACAAGGGUGUUUGCUCUAAGGCUGUGUUUGAUGGUGAGGGGAUUGAGAAAAUUGGGAAGAUACGUAAAACGAGGUGAGCCAUUAACGCAAGAUUAAUUGAGUAUUAACUAUUUUAAAUUUCAAAAAUGGACUAAUAUGAAUUUUUAAAGCAACUUUCAUAUAGAAUUUUUUUAAAAAAAAUACACCGUUUAGUAGUUUGGGAAGCGUGCGCGCGGAAAACGAAUGACAAUCUCCCCAAUCUCCUUUGAAAGAACGCAGCCUAAGUAACCCUAGGGGGAUUACCUAAAGAAAGCAAAAGAAGAAGGGAAUGUCGCUACUAGCGGCAACAGUGGGAGGCUUUUCGCUGUGUGGCGUGGCUUGGUUCCCACUUUGGAUCUUUGAACGGGCCAAGAUUGGCUUUUGGUUUUGGACUGAUCCACUCAAUCCAAGGCAAAACAAGCUUCAUUGCGGAAGGGAAAAAAAUUUCCCAAGGUAAAAAUGGUGUUACACGACAAGAAGCCAAGAAUGAUACUGUAGAAUAACACAACAUAAAGCAACAGCUAUAUGGCACAGUAAGGUAAAGCACGGCAGGAGUAGCAGGAUGUGCGUUGUGUUGGUUUCAGCAUGGGGAGGCGUGCUCCUUUAUUCAGAGAGAAGCUUCCAAAGUACACAAAGAAGAGAAAGCAACAGCUUGGGUUGGCUGAUCUACAAUCCAAAAAAAGAGACGGUUUAUAAUCCAAAGAAAGAGACAGUAGAGAGGUAACCCAGUGACAGUCUUGCAUUGGUCCUAAAUUCCUCCAAGUGACACUGUAGUGUAGCUAGCUAUUCCCCAGCAUCUUUAUUUCCACCUGGCAGAUUCUUCUAAAAUAGAAUUCAGCACCGCAGAAUGCAACUGCAUGCUGUGCUUUCUUUUCCCAGUGGGCACGGUCACCUUUGUUUUUUUGAUGUUGAUUAACCAUCACCGCAUAAUCCUGCAUUACCAAAACACCAAGCUACUAUUUACUCCCUAAGUCAAAAAAAAAAAAGGUAAACCUUAGGUUUCCGUGCCAACGUUUGACUGUCCGUCUUAUAUGAAAUUUUUUUAUAAUUAGUAUUUUCAUUUUUGUUAGAUGAUAAAACAUGAUUAAUACUUUAUGCGUGACUUAUCUUUUUAAUUUUUUUUUCAUAUUUUUUUCAAAUAAGACGGACUGUCAAACGUUGGACACAGAAAUCAGGGUUUGUCUUUUUUUUGGGACGGAGGGAGUACCUCAGUCACUCACAUGUCACGUCUAAGAUAGGAGUAUAUUUCAGUAGCUUGUCAGGCAGACCCGCAACGCCCUUCUCUUUCUACCAAACUAGUACUGGGUUACAUGCAAAUGCGCAACACCAUGAGCCAGCAACUCAGCAAGAAUCACCUUCAAGUAUAAAGUGAUUUGGUUGCCUUGUUGGGUGUCCAUCUCUUUGAGCUUUAUGCUUUUGGACCGAGAUCUCAGCCAUCCCAGUUACAGAUGUGGCCUAACACUGCCUAAGUGUCCCUGCUUCCCUAUUCCUAUAUCUAGCAGAACAAAGGCACAGGAUGCGGCCAUUGUUACCAACAUGGUCGAAGCUUACACUAUCUACACAGAUUUCUCUCGCAAAAACUAGCUUAGCUUGUACCAACAACGCGCCCUUGGUUAGAAGAGAAUGAGAGGUCUCAACCUAGCACUGGCGGUGCUGGUUCUCGUCGUCGUCCUCUUGGCCUCCUUUUCCGACGAGGUUCUCGCCGUCAGAACCCCGGCCGUGUUCGCCGCGAGUCGCCGGAGCGCCUCGCCACCAACAGAGCGGCCGCGAGAGCUCGUGGAGGGCGGCAAUGCCGUCGCCGCCACCGCCACCUUUGACGCCUCCGUGAAGGCCGCGGCGGCGACGGCGACGGCGACCGGCUCCUCUCCUUCGAAGGUGUUCGACCCUGACAGGAUGAGCAAGCGUCGAGUCCGGCGAGGGUCCGACCCGAUACACAACAAAUGCUGAGUUGCUGAUGACUCGCCUGGGUCAGUACCAUGGUCGAUGGUCGGGAUAUAUAUAUUUUAAGUGUCAAUUCUCUUCUUCUUCCUCUUCUUCUAGCUCCUUUUGUCUUGAGGUCUGAGUCGUUUCCGCCUUGUGGAGUUCGAACGAUUUUGUUAUAGAGAUACUUGUACAGAGAUGUCAAGCUAGAGUGGGCAAGCUAAUUAGGCUGCCGCGACACGUAUGCUAGUCGAGGCCAAUGUAAUGUGUAACCCUCUUUCCAAGUUCGCACGCAUGCAGAUGCAGUAAACCAGCGAAAUGCGCUUGUCCUUGAUCAAAAUUACCAUGUUCUCUUCGACAUUUUCAGUUCGCUUCAGCCAUCAGCGACUUGACCGGACAGACAGCCGAUCGAUGCAAGCGCUGAGCGUACGCGACAGCCAUCGACGACCGGUGGAUCUGUGCUCGGCGCGCUGUCGUUAGUGGUGGCAGCGCGUGGUACACCGUACACCGUACAACCGGACCAAGCGAGGGCAACCAUGGGCUACGUUAGAAUCGUUGGGCUUUUGAGCCCGUAAAAAAAAAGACUCGCAUCAUCGGCUUGAAGCCUUGAGCCCUUGAGACUCCCGGUGCGUUGUCCAGGCCUUUCCGUACUGUGAAAUGCGACCCAACCACUCGAAAUUCAUACGCAUUGUUUGGUUUUCAUUAAACUUUACUAAAUUUAAUUUCUAUAUAUUUGAGCAGGCUUGCAUGAGUCGAUAACUGCACAUUUCUAGAAAUUAUCAUCACUUAACACUAGCUAUCUAAGUCGUGCCUACAGGCGACCAUAACCUGUCUUUUAUUUUCGAAUAUGAUAGUACAUUGUUUGUAAUGAUUACGUAUGUUAAAAUUUAAUUGGUCUAUUUGCGGAUUUGAAUUAUAUUAUUUGAUUUUGUUAAGAAUUGAACUUUGGAGAGUAUUUGGUUCAAUGUUCAAGCAAUUAGGUUGAGAUAUAGUUUUGGAUUAUGCAUAUCAGUUUGUUUUUCUAUUUGUUAGUUACAUAUAUAUAUAUAUUUCUGUAGGUGGUAGAUAUUUUUUUAUUUUAUUUAUUAAUUUAUGAUUGUUUCUAUGACCUGCACAUCUGAUAAUUUUAGACUUGCUAUGUUGUUUAAUUGCGAAUGUAGGAUUUAUUGCAAUUUUAUUGACAUAAAAUCCAUAACACACACGUUAUUCGGUAUGUUUAUUGGUGGGUUACUCUACGGCUAUAUAUGUAAAGAUGUACCGAGAAUCACUUUUUAUAUAUGUAGUGUCUUUAAGUGCAUCUGACGGUAAGUAUUUGUUAGAUGACGUGACAUAUCCUAGUUUCUUUGUGGGAUUUAAUUUUCACUUAUAGAGAUGUCCUAUGCGCAAAAAAUACUGCCGACUUGUGCAAAACCCUUGUUUUGAUUAUGCUGUUACUGAAAAAAAAUGAUAAUAUACAUUUUCUUAAAUAUUUUUUGUUUAUAUACUUGCAUGAGAAGAAAUCAUUGAAAUAUACACAUGCUAUAAAUUGAAAAUGCUGAUGUGCUCACAAAUCGUGUUGUGGAGACGCGGGUUCCUCUUGCCCAUUCUGCGGGGACGGUCUGACCAGCAGUCCUGCGUCUCCGCAACACGAUUUGUGAUCGCACCCACGUUUUCGGUCUGCGGCAUACAUAUAUUUCUGCAAUUUCUUCCCACGUAGGGAUAUAAACGUAAAUUGUUAAAAUAAAAGGCAUAUUCUCAAUUUUUUUUUCUGCUGUUACUACUGAUAGCUCGCUGAAAGUGAAAGGUCAUCGCUGAGUUGGUGACCAUAUACGCGUUCUGCACAAAGCACAUCUUUGUGUUCAAGUCGUGUUAAAAUCUGAAACAGUGAAAAAUUAUGGUUAUCGUGCCCAAGUUACUAACGACAAAAACAAUCACCUUGGCUACUUGGCUCUAAUUCAACACGGUGAUAAAUGCUAAACCUGACGAACAUGACCAAUUAAACACAAAGUAGUUAGCACAAUGUAACUACUACUACUAGCUACUACUACCUCCGUUUCUAAAUAUUUGGCGCCGUUGAUUUUUUUAAACAUGUUUGACCAUUCGUCUUAUUAAAAAAAUUAAGUAAUUAUUAAUUCUUUUCUUAUCAUUUGAUUCAUUAUUAAAUAUACUUUUAUGUAUACAUAUAGUUUUGUAUAUUUUACAAUUAUUUUUAAUAAGACGAACGGUCAAAUAUGUGCUUAAAAAGUCAACGGUGUCAAAAUAUUUAGAAACAUAGGUAGUAUUUUUUUUCGUUGAACAAACUGAGCACAAAAAUAAUCACCUUGGUCAUAAUUCAACGUUCAUUAAUGCUAAACCUGCCGUACGCGAGCAACGUAGUAGUAGUAACUAUUUUUUUUUCGUCGAACAAACUAAAGUCUGACAAGGACUCUCGUGGUCAUGGAAACGAUUAUUUCAAAUGCCAUUGUCAUUUGCCAACACACCUGAUACCAACACAGCGAAAGCAAUUUUACUUUUACUUCCUUCUUGUCAUCUGUCUCGUUCCUAGCACUGAGCACACGGACGUUCUCAGAUUAAAACUCGUGUCGAAACUCCCUCCGAUCGACAUAAGAGUUUAAGGCGUUUCAUUCUUUUAUAAUUUUUAAGACUUCAAUUACAACUUUUCUAUAUACCUAUAUAAUCUUAAAAGAAACCAGUGAUAAUGUACGUUCGUCUGCCACCGCCACCAGUUAAUUACAUGUGCGUUUUUUUAAGAUAAUAAUUACAUGUGCGUUUAGUCUUAACUAGCUGGAUGGCCCGCGCAAUUGCGCGACUAGCAUCCAAACAAAAUAAUAUAUUUUUUAAUAUAAUUUUACUUAAAAUUUAUAAAUAGCUAUCUCAUUGUCUUAAGACUUUGAAACACCAAACCUUAUCAUCUAGUGUUUCUACUUAUAUAGUUUUUUAAAAGUCACAUCAGUUGCUGCCCCUUAUAUCAUCUCCUUCCUUAUUUUGCUUGCUUGAUCUACCACUAUUUCUAUUUAUUCUCCUUGGAACCUUUAAAAAUUGGAUGAAAUAGUUUUUAGAGUUUAUUGUAAUGUUGGGUUUCGUUCUUAUAAUUUCUAGACGUUCCGUCAAACGUUGUCAUUAUACUCCUCUAUUGCCUGUCCAUUGUCUUUUCUCUUUAUUGUCAUUGAGAUUUUAAAAAUCGAACAUAAUUAUCGUUUGGGUUCAUUUUUACUUUCUAGAAGUCUCGCCAAACCAUCAGCGGCUUUGCCAUUGCACUUCUCUACGGCUCGCCUACUGCCUCCCUUCUUUAUUGUCAUUGAGAUUUUAAAAUCGAACAUGAUUAUAAUUGUUUUUUUUACUUUUUAGAAGUUCCAAACCUUUAAAAAUUGGACAUUGUAGUUUUUAGAGUUUAUUGUCUUGUUGAGUUUCAUUUUUUAUAAUUUUUAGAAGUCUCGUCAAACGAUGCCACUAUACUCCUCAACGUCCCGUCCGCCGCCUACUCUUUAUUAUCAUUGUGAUUCUAAAAAUCGAACAUAACUAUCGAUGGAAUUCAUUUUUUAUUUUCUAGAAGUCCCGUCAACAAUCAGCGGCUUUGCAACUAUACUCCUAUACACCCCGUCCGCUGCUUCUCCUUUUUAUUGUCAUUGAGAUUUUAAAAAUCGAAUAUGAUUAUCAAUGGGAUUUAUUAUUUAUUAUUUUUUAGAAGUCCCGGCAACCGCCUUACUCGUUUGCUUCAUAGCCUGCUUGUCGUCCCUCCAUUUAAUCGUCAUUUGGAUUAUAUUUGGUGUUUUAUCAACAGUUUUUAUAUUCCGUAUCAACCGCCACCACUCUACUCCUUUGUAGGCAUGUUACUUAAAUUAUCUCGUCAUGUGUUUUAGAUGGUUUUUUCUUUCAAUAGUCUUUAUUUUUAUCACAAAUUUUAGUUAUUUAUAAAUUGUAUUCUUAAUUGAAAUCUUGUUUUUCUUUUUCUAAUUUUAGAAUUUAUUUUUUUCAAAUUUUAAUUAAUAUCGUAUUGUGUUCUUUUAAUAUUUUUAUUUUUAUUUUUAUUUUUAGUUGUUUCAUAAUUGUAUUACUACUUGAGCUCUCUUUUAUUUUUUCUAAUUUUGGAUAUUAUUUUGUUUUUUUCUGAAUUUUAAUUAAUCUCAUAUUGGGUUCUUAUAUGGAUUCUGUUUUCAAUAUUGCUUAUUUUUAAUUCCGAAUUUCAGCUAAUUUUAAAUUGUAUUCCUACUUGAACUCUUCUUUUUUUUCUAAUUUCAGAUUUUAUUUUUAUUUUUAUUUCUAAUUUUAAUUAAUCUCGUAUUGGGUUCUUAUAUGGACUCUUCUUUUAAUAUACCAUAUUUUUAAUUCCGAAUUUCAGCUAUUUUAAAAUUGUAUUCCUACUUGGACUAUCCUUUUCUUUUCUAAUUUUGGAUUUUAUUUUAUUUUUAUUUCGAAUUUUGAUUAAUCUCGUAUUGGGUUCUUAUAUGGAAGAUUGUAUUUCUACUUGAACUCUCAUUUUCUUUUUUUUUCUUUUCUCCGAUUAAUGUGAAAAUUUCUAGUCCCACAGUGAACGUGGUGCCUUCUUUCAAAGCUGUUUUAAUAAUAUAAUAGAUUAGAUCAUCUAGUAUUAUUAGAACAUGUUAUAAGACACAUGUAUUUUGCUAGUUACUAGAAUAAGUUAAUAAAAAUAUAUUAACUUUCGUAGCUAUCUUUAGAAGUCAAUCGUGUUAUGAAAAAAACGGAGGGAGUUGUGUGUUUUCAAGACGAAUCUACUACUCCUAAACUAAAUAUUUCAAAGUUUGUUACAGCUGAAGUUUAAAAUGUUAGAUCGAAUCUUAACUUAUCCAAAACGUUUCAAGUAUUUAUGAUAGGAGGGAAUAAGCAUACUUAGCAGAAUUAAGAGACGUAUCAUACUGUGUUAUUAACUGUAAAGAAAUGGAACCAUGCAUGCAGCAGCACAGUGGAUAGCACGCAAGUGCUUCCUGAACCUGAUGUGAUCAGUCGAGUGUGCGAGUAGCUUGAUCACUCCUUGAUUGGAAAAGAACGUAUGGCUCCCGCUAGCUGCACCUGAUCGUGAAUUAUUUUACACUUGGUUUGCCAGCCACCAAGCAACCUCGAGUGCUUAUACAAAAUCUCAUGUUGGUACGGAUCACCGAACGCAUGGUCGAGGUCGUAUGUUUCAGCUUCUAGUGUUGCUAGUAACUCACGGUAAUUAACUAAUUAAUCUAUACAAUAUACCAGGAGUUACUAGCCUGCUUGUAGAUUUUUUUUGUUCUUUUCAUCAGUGAAGUUACUAGCAUGCAACAUGUGCAUCAAAUUACCAGGAGUUGGAGUCAUCAAUGAAUGCAUGUGGAUUUAGAGCUCCUUGAGACGUUAAUUUUCAUGAUUUUCACAUGAACUAGUUUAAUUAUUAUUGUGAAAUUUCUCUAAAAAUCAUCCAUUACGAAGCAGGAGGCGUUAUAUAUUGAAGAUUUUCGUUGUUUGUCACGAAAUAUAAGUUCUAUAUAGCGAAACUUGACAAAUGAUAGUGUGAUCGCUUUCUGUUCUUUCUCUUGACAUCAUGACAUUGUCAAACCUUUGUCUCUUAUCCGUGUGUGUGUAUAUAUAAAUAUAUUCACAUACAAAAUAUGCUUACCUUAACUAACUUAAGUUGUAACCAGCCUAUUCAGGUUUAAGUUCUAAACUUGACAUGGUCACAUGGAUGCUCAUAUUUACGGCUAAUUAUUCUUUCAAGGCGAUAUAUCUGUCGACAUCAAGGCGUCCGUGAUGACUUUUGCAUUAGUCUCAAAAUAUGUCAACCUAGUCUUUCGGAGGUUCAAUCGUAGAGGUGGUGUGUUCCACGUGUGUUUGUGCGUUUAUAGGAUAAAUGCGUGCACGAUAUGAGCAACUGGAUUUAUAAUGCGUUUCUUAAAAAAACAUGUUUAUUCACACUCAUCACUACAGGGGACUUUAGUGCUCUUUUUGAACAUAGGAGUUCCACAGGAUAUUCUCCAUGAUCAAUUAAUAAAAUUCCCUUAGAAAAUACGGCGAUUUUUUUUUCUAAGAAGUCCUUAACAGUUUUUUUGGGACAGGAAUUAAAAGAUUAAUGGACGUGAUGUUGAAUCAUCCAUAUAUUAAAUUACAAAGGAGAACUCUCAACUAUGUGACAAAUGAAAAUGGUGAUAGAAAUUCCCAACUGAUCGAGCACUGUUUUUGUAAGAGUGGAUGGUAGGGAUGAAAUCGUUGGAGAAUUCUCUAUAUUUUCCAAUUCAACUAUUUUAGUAAUACCAUCAAUAUGAUACUAAUAGGAAUUAGACAAUUUAAAUUUAUGUCUAGAAUCAGAAACGUCACAACUUCUACGAGAACAAUAAUGGAUCGGUUGGGAAUAUCCAUCACCGUUCCCAUCCCUAACUUUCGGUGGAGCUCAUCGGAGCAUGUACAAUGGUAUAGAUUCUUAGAUAGAUAGUACAUGGGUGCCGCGCUGAGGGGUGCUAAUGCAUGGGUGGUCACACGGGGGCAAGCCUGCGCGGUGAGUUCGCCCCCUCUAGUCUCUCAUCUCUCCUCUUUAUAUGUAUAUAUGUAUGUAUAUACUUUUAUAUACAUACGUAUAAACUUUGUAUCACUUUGUCUUGACGCACACCGAUAUCAAGGGCCCCACUAGCGCACGGGGAGCCAGCCCCCCCCCCCCCUCCGAUUCCUCCUCAUUGCUCAUGGCAACCGUGCCCCUGACCCUGUUAAUGAAAACAAGUAGUACCGUUCGCUCCACCACGAGGACCUGCUUGAGGCUUGAGAGAGGAGGGAAAGGAGGAUUGUCACAAGGCUGUGAAACGGGUGGCUAGGAAAUUUAAAGCAAAACCAAUAUUUCGUUAUCCAUUAGGUGUGCAAUUGGUAGAGCAUUCUCGAGAUUGUAUUGUAUGCAAGGGUUUUUUUCAUGAACACGUAGAAACUUUACACAUCAAUAUAUUAGAAGAAGUGUAGUAUACAACUGUGACACGCCGGGCAGUCACUGGAGGAUCAGUGGGAGGGCAUAUCUCGUUACAUAAGAAGCAGUCUGGACCAAGCAAGUGUUAGGUGGUUCAGGACAACACAAAUUAAAUUAUACAAUCUACAGUUAGGAUAACAUGAUUUACUUAUCAAUAACCAUGUUUUUUUUAAAGUUAAACGUAACAUAGGAGUUCUCUCACAGUGACCAACUAGCUUUAGCUACUGUAUCUUUCAUAGUGACCAACUAGCUAGCAUAGCUGCGCAUAGGUAGGUAUAGGUGAUGCACCCAACAACGUAUGCUGUAUGCAGCAAAAGCGAGACGCUGAAGUGCAGAAAUGCUUCCAAGUUCCAGCCUGUUUUGGGGCUUGGCUAUUGCCUAUAUAUACUGCUCCAAGAUGACCCUGCAUUAAUCCAUGCUGAGCCUCUUAUACUAAUAUUGCCAGAUUUAUUUACUAACUAUAAACGGGAACACAAUGCCGGUCGGCACCGCGCGAACUUGCAUGAAUGGCCUCAAUGCCCUGUCCGGUGCGUACAUGUUGCUCGAGAUCUUCUAGCUACCUUGCAGUCUUGCUUAAUUGCUUGCGUUGAUUUACCGUGCGCACUCAUGCCGCUAUAUAUUCUCUGAUCGACCAGGGGUUGGCUUGCUCACCGUGCCCUACGCCCUCUCCGAGGGGGGCUGGGUGAGCCUCGCGCUGCUCGCCGCCGUGGCCGCCGCCUGCUGGUACACCGGGAUCCUCCUCUGCCGCUGCAUGGACGCCGACGACGCCAUCCGGACGUACCCGGACAUCGGCGAGCGCGCGUUCGGCCGCACGGGCCGCCUCCUCGUGUCCGCCUUCACGUACGUCGAGCUCUACCUCGUCGCCACCGGCUUCCUCAUCCUCGAGGGCGACAACCUCGACAAGCUCUUCCCAGGAGCCAGAGUCACCCUGGGGACGGUGUCCCUCGCCGGGAAGCGGCUGUUCGUCGUGCUCGUCGCGCUCGUGGUGGCGCCCACGACGUGGCUGCGCAGCCUCGGCGUGCUCGCGUACGUCUCCGCCACGGGCGUGUUCGCGUCCGUCGUCAUCGUGCUCAGCGUGCUGUGGGCCGCGGCCGUCGACGGCGUCGGAUUCUCCGGACGAGGGACGACGACGCCGCUACGGAUCGCGGGGCUCCCGACGGCUCUCGGGCUGUACAUCUUCUGCUACGGGGGACACCCCAUGUUCCCGACGCUCUACACAUCUAUGAAGAGGAAGUCUCAGUUUCCAAAGGUAUACCCGUAUACGCAUGCGCAUAACACUAUGCUAUUUAUCAGUCGUGAUUUUUUCUUAUCCGUUAGUCAACCAAUUUGCAAAGGUCAUUUACUAAACUUGCACACUACUAUAUAUAAAAAAAACACUGCAACUUUUAGCUUUGCUUUUUUAAAAAAAUAUUUUCUGGACCAAUUUAGUGCAUUAUUAUGUUUAUAUGAAGAGAAAUUUCCCUAUGUACCCCUAAAAGUUCGUCCAAUCCCUUCUAUAUUCCUGAGAUUUGAUUAUUUACUUCCAUACUCCUAAAUUUUACUUUGAAUCCCCUCUAUACUCCUUUUGUCAGUUGACCGUUAAAUUCAUAUCAUAAACUCCAUUUUACCCUUUGGUAUAAAAAAAUAAAUUUGUGAAGUAUAUUGAUGGAGUGUAUAAAUUUAUUGUAUGCGACUAUUAUAUUUAUGAGUUUAUUUUGUAAGAUAUUAUUUAACAAAAAUAAUUUUUAUCUCAUAUAACAAGAUUUAUCUUAUAAAAAUUUGCGUACUACUAUAACAAACUAUGCUAUAUAUAUACAGUUUUCAAUGAUAAAAAAUAUUAUUUUUUGUUUUAUCUAAAAUAAAUUGUCAUAGAUAAAAAUUACUUUUGUUUUCCCUUCGCGAGGCGAAACUAAAAUAUUACUUUUAUUAAAUAAUAUCUCACAAAAUAAACUCAUACAUAUAAUAGUCCCAUACAAUAAAUUUAUACACUACAUCAAUAUAUUUCAUAAAUUUAUAUUUUCUCGAUACCAAAGGGCAAAAUGAACUUUAUGAUAGAAAUUUAACGGCUAACUAAUGGAAGAGGUAUAGAAGGGACAUAGAAGAUAUACCAAAAAAUAUUUUUUAAACUUUUAGGUUAGAAUAUUAUUUUCUUCACCACAAGGAGAAAGAACAUAAGGAUGAGUUUGUUGAUAUAUAUUGAUCUAGCUAGUGUUAAAAAUGCGAUUGAUAGAUAAGAAAAAAAAUCUCUUGACAAAUAGAUAAUCCUGAGAAAUAAUGUAGUAGAAGAAAUCACGUUUUUGAGAAAACAUAUAUUUUUAAAGCAAGUUAUAAACAAUCUGGUGCAUAAUCAGAAUGGAUUAAUUGAUGGUCGAUCAAUAUACUGACCAACUCUUCAAUUGAUUAUUGAUCAAUUAAUUAUUAUCAAAUAUCAACCAGAUGCUAGUGAUAUGCUUCCUGCAAUGGCGGUGCUCGGCUACCUCAUGUACGGCGACGGCGUGCUGUCCCAGGUGACGCUCAACCUCCCGUCGGCGAGGCUCAGCUCCAAGGUCGCCAUAUACACGACGCUGCUCAACCCGGUCACCAAGUACGCACUGGUGGUGACGCCGAUCGCUGCCGCCGUCGAGGAGAGGAUCCGCGGCGCCGCCGGCAAGGGAGCGCGCGCCGUCUCCGUGGCGGUGAGGACGCUGCUGGUGCUCAGCACGGUGGCCGUGGCGCUUGCGCUGCCGUUCUUCGCGGACCUCAUGGCGCUGGUGGGAUCGAUGCUCAACGUGGCCGUCUGCAUGCUGCUGCCCUGCGCCUGCUACGUCAGGAUCUUCGGGGCGCCGUCGAUGAGCAGCGUGGAGGCCGUGGCGAUCGGCGGGAUACUGGUGCUGGGCUCGCUGGUGGCUGUCACGGGGACUUACUAUUCCCUGAUGAAAAUUAUCCGUGAGUUGGUGUGAUAAUACAUCGAAGAUUUGAUCCAAAUUGUUAUGGGAGUGUGUGGAUUGAUUUUUCGUCGAUUAGUGUGGUGGCCUGCAUAGAUUGCAAGGGUGCAUAGAUUGCACGGGUAACAUUGUUAUAAGUUUUGUAUAUAUAAAUCAGUAACUCUAUUGUGAAAGAAAAAUAGUAUAAGUUAUAAGGAGAUGGAUUUGUCUUUUAAGGGAAUAUCCCUCGUUUAUUAUAUUUUAAAAAUAACUUGUAAGAUAGAUUAGUAUGAGAUAUAUCGCCUUACAAACAUAAAAUAUUAAAUUUGACUUCUACAAUUACAAAAACCAAAGUUUCUUUUAAGUUGAGUUUAAUUUAUUUUUACCAGAUUGAUAAGAUAAAUUAAUGAGUAAAUUUCACAAAACUACAGGUAUUUUGCACAAUUUAUCACAAAACUACAGAUUUAAGAGCUUGUUUCACAAAACUAUAUAUUUAGUGUCUACUUUUAUCACAAAACUACAUGUACUUUGUAUAAUCUAUCACAAAACUACAUAUUUAAGAACUUGUUUCAUAAAACUAUAGAUUUAGUGUAUUCGUUUAUCCCAUAACUAUACAUUUAGUAUCUUCUUUUAUCACAAAACUACAUGUUUAGUGUCUUCAUUAUCACAAAACUACAUGUUUUAAAUGCUAAAAUAUGUAGUUUUGUGAUAAUGAAGACACUAAACUUGUAGUUUUGUGAUAAAUGAAGAUAUUAAAUCUGUAGUUUUGUGAAACAAGUUCUUAAAUCUGUAGUUUUGUGAUGUAUUGUGGAAAGUACCUAUAGUUUUGUGAUAAACGUAGACACUAAAUCUGUAGUUUUGUGAAAUAAGUUCUUAAAUCUGUAGUUUUGUGAUAGAAUGUGCAAAAUAUAUGCAAUUUUAUGAAAUUUACUCCAAAUUAAUAUGAAAUAUACCACUCCAAACGAAACAUUCCAAGAAAUAUUCUCCUUGACGGUUGUUGGGCUCCACCCUUCCAUAGUCCAUGCAUGCAAGUGGGCUGACUAAGGCUGCCAACUGUCUAAGUUAGGCAGUGGCUACUAGAUCGAAUAGUAAGAAAGGACUAUCAAAUGAUAAGAAAGGACUUGUUAGGCUUGGUAAGUCCCACAUAUCGGUGAUGAAAGAACUAAGACUGCAUCUGAGUUGGUUAGGGACGCAGGAAUGAUAUUAGGCAUUAGUACAUAAUUAAUUAAGUAUUGAGUAUUGUAAAUUUUUUAAAAAUGAUUUUAAAAGAAAUUUUAUAUAGAAAGUAUUUAAAACACACACCAUUUCAUAAUUUCAGAAAUAUGCUCACAAUAAAAGAGUAGUGAAUCUGAGAACAUGUACAAUGACAAUCAAUAGCAAUCUCUUAGAUUUGUUUAUCAGGUAAGUCUACUAACAUGGAAAAGAGGGGGCCGGAAGAGAAAGAAAUAUCGUUGUUACGUAUGACAACGGCUUAAUAUCGAUCCCUAGCAUUUAUAACUUUUACUUUAUGAGAAAGGAGAAAAAGAAAACAAAGAUAAUAAAACGUAGUUUUAGUACAAUAAUUGUUAAAGUAUUUUAUCGUCCCAAAUGUUAAGAGUAGGACUCUGUUCGGCGGUCAUAGCGACUUGAAAAAUAUGCACUCUGUUCACAAUUUCAAGGUGACCAUGCUCUUACAUGUAUAAGAUGUAAUUGGGGAAAACCUGAUUUCACCUUUUCUUUUCAUUCAUCUUUUUUAUCGCUGAUGAAACUCCUACUACUACGAUUAAGGUGACAGUAGAUAAGUGGGCUACUACAUCUACAUGCAAGCAGCAACAUUCUGGAGUAUUUUCAUAGCAACAUGCCAGCAAUGAUGUCUUGUUUCUAUGUAUGUUUGACCCCAAGUGACCAAGAAAUUAUGUUUGUUUGAACCCUAGUGAUCUAGCACCGAUGUCCUGCAUCACGUACCAUUAUCCAUCUGUUCUUUGCGCGUGUGGUAGAUGUGGCUCCAUGGAUGAUCUCUCUCAUUCGGUGCAAGAAUUUUGAAAUGAUAUGCUUUCAAUAUAUCCACAGUUUUUUUUUCUCUUAUUCAGUGAAGAAGGUUUGAAAUGAUAUGAUUUCAGUAUCUGGACUGUUCUUUUCUGAUCUGAGUUGAACACUUGAUCGUACCUGAAUAGUGGACAUGCUGCUAGAAGGGGGAUUAUUUAUUGUUGAGUCCAUGUCAACAAGUUGCCACAAACAAAUAUACUAGGAGGUGUGAAUAGGAGCUUUCAAAAAGUCAUGGAGAGAAGAGAAGAGAAGAGAGAAAAGGAAAGUGAGCUAUAGAUUUGUAGCCAACUACAGCACAGACUUCAAUACGUCGUGUGUAUAUGAGAGGUGCGACCAUAUAUUGUGUGAAUAAGCUAUUAGAUUGACUAUAGAUGAAUUUAAGUAUACUCUCUCCGUACUCGUAAAGGAAGUCGUUUUGGGCAGCAACAUGGUCUCCAAAAUACAACUUUAACUUCUUGUUUCUAUAAAAAUAUUUAUUGAAAAAUGAUAUAUGUAACUUUUAUGAAAGUAUUUUUCAAGACAAAUCUGUUCAUAUUAUUUUUAUAUUUUUAAACUCAACAACUUAAGAGUUAUUCAUGAUUUAUAUUCCCGAUGUUUGACUUAAACAUUAUUCUAAACGACUUCCUUUAUGAUGAGGGAGUAUACUACACCAUUAAUAGUACCAUUAAUAAGUUUAAUUGAAGCAUACAUUAAUAGUACUAUUGAACUUGCUCUCAUGGCGCUGGUUGGGUAGAUGCUCAGCGCGUGGGUGCGCGUGCAUAUUGUGCCUGCUACCUCCGCAUCUUCGGGGCGCCGUCGACCCGCGCCGCUGCGCUGGCACCGUCGCCAAGUAGACCGCGGUGAUCGGCAGGAUAUAGCGCUGGGCUAGCUGGUGGCUGUCACGAGGACGCACUCUUAACGUAACUUUGUUUACGAGUUGUUGUGACAAAACACUGAAGAUUUGAUCCACGUUGUUGUAUAAGAGUAAGGAUAAUAAUAUAGUCCACUUUCUACUAUUAGCCUAUACUAAAAUCAGUUAGCUAUAAUUUUUUUUCUUCUAUCUUUAUCUCUCACUUAUACAUUUAAUGUAUUUGUCUUGGAGUUUGUGUUAAGCUAGGUUUUGUAUGAGAGCCAACACCCUUCUCUUUUGUUUACCUCUCUCCUCCACAUAAUCUUAUAGUAGGCUUAUAACUCACUAUUAUACUUGCUCUGAGAGCAAGUACAAUAGCAGGCUAUUAGCCAGCUAUAAACAUUUUUUAAUAAGAUAAACAAUGAGAGGGAAUAGCAGCGGACUACAGAUCUGUAGCCAGCUGCAGCACGGACUCCAAGACACACUGUGUAUGACAGGUGGGACCAUAUAUUAAUAGUAUAGUAAGCAACUAUUGUAUGAAUUGACUAUUAGAUUGGCUAUAGAUGAAUUAGAGUUAGUAGUGGGCUGUACUAUUAGACUUGCUCUAAGUGGCGUUCAUCAUGUAGACAUGAUUUUUACACCACGCCGUAGCCGAGGCCGCUUUAUUAUAGCCGGGGACGGUUGAUCGAGGACAACGUGCAUGGGCCGGGCCGGCUGGAGAAGGACCAAAACUGUCGUCCCAUGGAUCUAUGGGCCUCGUUGACAUCCGCAUAUGCUCUGCCUGGCCUGGUCACGCACAACCUCCCUCACCCUGACUGCGUACGCAACGGCACGCACUACCGUCACCAUCGUCACAUCGUGCGGACUGCUGAUGAGCAACGUUACCUUUGCCAAUUACCAGCGCGCUCCUGUCUUGUGUGGUGCAAAUCACUCAGCGCGUGAGCUGUGAGCGCAAAUAGCUGCUCACCUAGAGCGUACGACAACGUACGUAUCAAUACGUGUCUGCACGCGGUAGAAGAAUAAGUUUAGCUGCAAGUCUCCAGCAAACGUACGUACAAGGUCUCUUUGCAAAUUAUUGGGAUCUCAAUAAUUCUAUCUGGUGCCCUAGGUGCCGCUCAAUUGUUCAACCGCUCGAUCGGGGUUGUCGUACUCGUACUAGCUACGUGCGUACAUGCCCAAAAACGUUGCACGACGAUGGUGAAGCCCAAAAAACGUUGUACCGAUCGAGCAUGUACCGUUCAGCACGUACGCUAUAGCUUCAAUUUCAUGUCGCCAUCGACCGAGAGCACCGCCGCUCGCGAGGCGACGACGAAUUAAUAAUCGAACAAACCACAUGGCGUGACACACAGCCACGCAGGUUAGCUAGCGGCGGGCGCCGGACGGACGAACCUUUUUCCAAGCUCUGUGGGGCGAUCACGACGAAAUACACAACGAUCCAUCUAGCUAAAAGGAUCAGGCCGGACAGGGAGUCCUGCCGAGACUGCUCAUAGCUCACAUGGCUAGAACUCAACGGCAAGGACAAAUUGGCAACGGCUCAAUCGAACCACAUGUAUAGCAUCAUAUACGACUCUCCGUCUAUAGCUAGCUAGUGUGUGAAUACUAUAGUAGUAUGAUAUCGAUGUUCCUUACAGCUACUUAAUUCACGCUUUAAUCAUGCUUGAUUACCGGAUGAAAGCAACGACUAUAUACAAAGUGUUAAAUAGGUGCAAAUUGCUUAGUUAGUUACAAAUUGAGUCACAAUUUUCUAAGCUGAUGAUAAGAAUCCAUGUCCCCAUGUCAAGAAAAAAAAAAGAAAGGGCGCAGCCGCAGGCGCACAGCUUUGCUCUGCUUGGUAGUUUGGUGAAAUGCUCUUUCAGUUUCAGCUACGCAGGAAUGUCAACUGGCUCUCUUUCAGCUUCAAUUUAGUCGAGAACGACACGUACGCCCAAGGGAAAAAAAGAUUGACCAAUGACCAGUACCAACGUAGUAGGUACCGACCGGUUUCUCCAUAAACCGUAGAAGAACAUUUCUUAUCAACAUGGAGCGGCCUGUCACGUUCUAGCUAGCAAAGCUGCAUGCUGCAGCCAAAUCCAAGAAUCAAAAUGAAAUCUUUGCAACCAGUAGCUAGCUAACCAUAUGGUCCAUAUCCAUCCAAUGCAAUCCAUUCAAUCAACAAUACUCUCUUGGAAAUAUCUGUAUGCGUGCUUCCGUCUCACCAUCUAGGUGCAGUCUGAUCCUCAUAAGUCAUACUCUUGUGGACACACCACUCCUAGGAUGAUAGCAUACCAGGCACGCAUUGAAGUGAGCUUGUUGCUUCCAGAUUUUCUGAUUAUUGGCACAUUAAUCUCCAAGGUUCAAACUUCGGAGAUUCCAUGAAAUGAAAGAACUGAAAAGUAAACGGGAGAAAUCAUUAGCAGUAUACUCCCUCCAUUUCAUAAAAAAUAAAUAACCGAAUAUAAUAUAUUCUAAUACUACGAAUCUUGAUAAAAAUAGAGACGGAGUCUAUCCCCAAUGCUUUCUAAAAGAUGUUUGAACCCACGUGGAAGAACUAAAUGCCACCAGUUUUAGCUGCAGUCGUGUGCAGAUCCCCCUCGCUGCAGUACUGCAUCGCGUUGCAUGCAGUGUUGCUCUCCAACUUCGCGUGCGCCGCGCCGCACGCAAGAAUUUCACGAAAACAACAGCGCAGUUCUCUCGCCCUUUUAUACAGCUGCGGGUUCGCCCGCGACGCCAAAAACUAGCAAACUGCACGACUCGCGCGUGCUCUGCUCGCUUCUCUGUUCCGUUCGCUCCACGGUUCUCUGCUCCCCCCUCCGUCGCGUCGCGUGCAGGAGGAUGGCCAUUGGCGGAGCAGCGCCGCCGCACCCGCCCCGUGGCGGCGGCGGCGGCUCGCCGGAGGACAGCAGCACCGCGCGGCGGCCGGACUUCGAGCAGCCCCUCCUCCAGGCCCACGCCGCCGUGCCGGCCCGCGGGAAGCAGGAGCCGGUGGAGCGGGACCACGAGGCGCAGUGCUCGCCGGAGGCCGACGGCGACGGCGCCACCUUCGUGCGCACCUGCUUCAAUGGCCUCAACGCGCUGUCAGGCGAGUACAAGAAACACUCGAUAUUUGGUCGUAGGAGCUGUUCGUCCGGUCUGUUUAACUCGAUUAAUCUUGAUCUCUUGGGGUUCAGGCGUUGGGCUGCUGUCGAUUCCGUACGCCUUGUCGGAGGGAGGGUGGCUGAGCCUGGUGCUCCUGCUCGCCGUCGCCAUGGUCUGCUGCUACACCGGCCUCCUCCUGCGGCGGUGCAUGGCCGCGUCGCCGGCCGUUCGGGGUUACCCGGACAUCGGCGCGCUGGCGUUCGGGGCCAAGGGCCGGCUCGCCGUGUCGGCGUUCCUCUACGCCGAGCUCUACCUCGUCGCCAUCGGGUUCCUGAUACUGGAGGGGGACAACCUGGACAAGCUGUUCCCGGGCACCAGCCUCGCCGUCGGCGGGCUCGUGGUGUCCGGGAAGCAGCUGUUCGUCGUGGUCGUCGCCGUCGUCAUCCUGCCGACGACGUGGCUGAGGAGCCUCGCCGUGCUCGCCUACGUGUCGGCCAGCGGCGUGCUCGCGUCCGUCGUCGUGGUGUUCUGCGUGCUGUGGGCGGCGGUGUUCGACGGCGUCGGGUUCCACGGGAAGGGGAGGAUGCUGAAUGUCAGUGGCCUGCCUACUGCUCUUGGCCUGUACACCUUCUGCUACUGCGGUCAUGCCAUAUUCCCCACGCUCUGCAACUCCAUGCAGGAAAAGGACAAGUUCUCCAGGGUGAGCUGCCCACUGUUUUCACUUUUGAUGUCACUGAACUACUGAAGGCUUGACUGGUGAAUUUGGGUUCUUUUUAUUUCAUUUAACUUUAUUUAUCUGAUAUUGAACUCUGAAGUAACCUUGAAUAUAUUGAGUAGUAAAACAGUCACGCACAUUGCAGCAUCGAAUAAUUCAUGUCAAGCUCAACAAUGCCAAGUUGCAUCAAAUAGCUGUUAAGUGUCUGUUGCCACAUAUUAUUGCUUGACAAAAAGAAAUGCUUUAAUUCUCAUAUGAACUGUGGAAUUAUGCAAUGAAUCUGACACUAUAUAGUUGAUAGCUAUCUGAAAAUGAAAAUGUCUGACGAUGACUGAACAGUAGUACAAUAUCCAACGCAACUACUUCCUAUCCGUCCUAGGAUAAUGAAUCUGAUAGAACCUUUGUUCAAAUUCUUUGUUCUAGGUUGGGUCAAAUCUCAUACUAGUUUGCGACAUUUUUGGGUGGAGGUAGUAAAAAUUAACUCUUUAUUUUCUUUUUUUUUUAACUUUGGACAGUACUCCUACAGUAGCUCAUUUUACUACCCCUGACUGACUGAACUGUCUGUCUUCUACGGUUCUACCUGCAUAUAGGUACUGGUCAUAUGCUUCGUGGCGUGCACUGUCAACUACGGAUCCAUGGCCAUACUCGGCUACCUCAUGUACGGCGACGACGUCAAAUCUCAGGUGACACUGAACCUCCCGGAGGGAAAGAUCAGCUCGAAGCUGGCGAUCUACACGACGCUGAUCAACCCGUUCUCCAAGUACGCCCUGAUGGUGACCCCGGUCGCGACGGCGAUCGAGGAGAAGCUGCUCGCCGGCAACAAGAGGUCCGUCAACGUGCUGAUCAGGACCCUCAUCGUCGUCAGCACGGUGGUGAUCGCCCUCACGGUGCCCUUCUUCGGCCACCUCAUGGCGCUCGUCGGCUCGCUGCUCAGCGUCAUGGCCUCCAUGCUGCUCCCCUGCAUCUGCUACCUCAAGAUCUUCGGCCUGACGCGAUGCGGCAGGGGCGAGACCCUGCUGAUCGCCGCGAUCAUCGUGCUCGGUUCGUUGGUUGCCGCGACGGGUACGUACUCUUCUCUGAAGAAGAUUUUCUAUGAGUUUUGAAGUCAAGAGAUGCACAUUAGGCAUGGAAACACCGAUGUCCGAAUUUGUGUACGUUUUUGUAGCAACGCAAUUCCGUAAUGUACCUCAAUGUCAGCAGUCAGCAGAGUAAUCUGAUUAAAUCCUGAGAUUCUGUAGUGGAGGCAAGGUAGUACAGAUAACGAGGAUUAGAGUGCUUUAAUUCGGGAUCGUAAGUAUGUUUGAGCUAUGGGAGCUAUUGGCCUUGUAUCUGUAUCUCUGUUGUCAGAAAUAGUACAGUUAGUCAAAAUGCCAAAUGAUAUUUGUAGGAUAUCAGCACUCCAUCUGAAUCUGUUGUAUCUUGUAAGAACUUGAAUGUAUUGAAGCAUUUUAUUGCAGCUGUGUUAAUUUUGUUGCUCAUUGCUUUAAAAUAUUUUUUUUGCCGGGCAUCGCUUUUAAAUAUUUUGGGCUGAACACUAGCAGAUCAAGAUUAUCUCUUCGGGAAAAAAAAAAGAACACUCGGAGUAAAUUAAGUACCAAUUUAGGUGGAUUUUAUCCAACAAUUUAUGUUUUCAUGAUACUGAUUUUUUUAUUCAAAAGUUCAGCCGAAGAUAAAACUCAUAGAGAACCAUCGACUUAUGUUUCAGCUAACGAAACAAAGUAUAUCUGUAUGUAUUCAGAAGCAAAGCAAAGAGUAACAGUCACACAGACCAGAUAUCAGGAUGAUAAGUGGAAGCUACAACAAGGACUAUGCAGUUCAUCGUGUUAAGGAAGAAGGGUACAUACAGAGAUACAAGUAGUCAUCUACUAAUACAAUUUGAUUGGUAACAAGCAUCAGCAAUUGCAGGAUUACAUGACCCAACCAUCACCAAGUCACCAAGAUGGCAUUCAUAGUUCGGAAAGGAUUAGUUUUUGCUUGCAAAAGCUAUUCCUUUUCCAACUAGUGGCUACUCUACACUUCUACAGGACAUGAGGUACAGAAAAACGGAAGCAAAGAAUCGGAAACGAGCUGCAGAGAAGGGGAACCCCCAAACCAAGUCGCCGCUGACACGCAGAAAAUCAGAGCGAGAUGAAGCCCUCCUUGACGAAGAGCGCGAAGAGGAGGACGACGAAGCCGGCGGCGAUGCACUGCGUGCUCGACACCAGCGUCUGCUCGUACGCCAGCAGCGUCACGGCGGCGCCGACGCACCCGAUCAGGAACCCGCUCAGAUUCCGGUCCAUGCCGGCCAGCCGCUCGCCCGCCUCCUCGCCGCUCGUCGAUCCCUGCUCCGCCCUCGGCUACGGAUGCCGUGUGCUGCUGCGAGUCCACGGGACAGAGGCUGGGGGCGGGGAUUAAAGCUGCGAGGUCAACGGCUUUGGUGGCGAUGAGAGGGCAUGGAAUUGGAAGCUAAAGCUUAUGGAGGGUUUGGAAGGUCGCCGAUGUCGUUUUCGCGGCUGGGAAGCGUCAUUUGCGGUUGCGGAUGGAGCUCACGAGUUUCUCAAUCUCAACGCCCGUUUGUUUGGUGUUAUAGUUUGCGAAUCAGAGCGGAAUUUUAAUCGGGAAAAGUGCGUUGUUUUUUUUUUUUGAACUUAAAAGUGCGUUGUUUAACCACGUGAUGAUUUCGUUUGAUCUCGGUACGUAAGGUCAAGAAUGAAUGCGCCUAAUUUUAUUUAUUUUUCGUUGGGCCAGAACAGGAUUGCGGCUCGAGUGCGGGCCCAUAUAAGAUGGGCCGUGACGAAAUUCCGGCCGACGCGCGACCCCAUACAUCUUGGACCUGAACAGGAUCCGGGCCUCCUUGUGGCCCAUGAUGUUCAGGUCCAUAUGAGCUGGGCUGGAGCGUUUUAAAUCGAUCGUGGAGACGGGCACUCGAAGCAAGUAGGUUAACAUGAGAUGGCAAGCACUGUCCAGACUCCAGAAAGUAUGUCCCUGCAUUUGAGGAAACUGCUGUAUGCCUUCAUCAAAUACAGCACAUGCACAUCGCAUCGGUGUGAUCUUUGAACUGCUUCAACAAUAAUUCUCAUGAAACCAACUCGCUACGCAGCCUUAAAUUACCGAAGAAAUUAAAGAAUUUUGCAUCAUUGUGCAGGGGAGAGCCAGGAGCCUUACCAAGUCCAGAUUUUCAGGGGGUGCCAAAAGUAGACAAAAGACUAGGAGUAUCGAGUAUCGACAUUACACUGUGGGUUUGGAGCUAAAGAGGGCUUAGUUCAAGCAGAAAUAUUUGCGACUUGGUACGUUGCGUCCCAUAGCCUCACUCGAGCAAGUAAGAGCAGGUGCAGAGUCAACCAAUGGCAAGGCGUGCUUUAGUUGGUGUCAACAAUGAAUUGUCAAAGCCACCUAAAUCAACACCCUUGCCCCGUGCUGCAUGAUUGACCAAACAGACCAUGUUGGUUUUGUUACCGGAAAUAAAUCUUCUUUUGCCAAGUAUAAGAAGGUCUUGCCACAUGCAGGUUCUCUCAAGCAAUAAGCAAUUAAUCAGGCAUUCUCACACCUCUGAGUUGCAACGAUCGCUUAGAUUUAGCAACCAAAAUUGCAGUAGUUAAUUGUUGUUGCCACACUCAAGCUAGCUAGGUGUACUAGCAGCUGCUUGCUGUUCGUGGUGCGUACGUGUCAUGACGAAGGACGGAUCAGUGAUGGAGCACGGGGAGAUCAGCUCGAAGGCGCCCCUGGUGGCGCCGGUGGCGGCCGGCGUGAACCGCGCCGUCGCGGUGGUGGACACAUUCCUCCGGUUCAUCGCCAUCAUCGGCACGAUCGGCAGCGCCAUCGCCAUGGGCACCACCAACGAGACGCUCCCCUUCUUCACGCAGUUCAUCCAGUUCGAGGCCAAGUACAGCGACCUCCCGUCCUUCACGUAAGCCAUCGAUCCGCUAUACACAUGAUGCCACUCACAGCUCAGGGUCAAUAGUAUCUGUGUUCUGCUGCAAGGCGCAGGAAGUUUGAUGCAGCUAGUUCGAUUUUUUGCAUGCACGGCCGGACGGACAGGUUCUUCGUGGCGGCGAACGCGGUGGUGUGCACGUACCUGGUGCUGUCCAUCCCGCUGUCCAUCGUGCACAUCCUCAGGCCCAGGGCGCGGUACAGCCGGCUGUUCCUCGUCUUCUUCGACACGGUGAGGAAAUAACGACAUAUAUCGACGCUGACUACAUGUUUGUUGCUAGAAAUUGCUCUUGUUCGUGAUGGAUAUACGUAUGUGUGAUGUGCAUAUAUAUAUGCACAGGCGAUGCUGGCUCUGCUGACGGCGGGCGCGUCGGCGGCGGCGGCGAUCGUGUACCUGGCGCACAAGGGCAACGUGCGGGCAAACUGGUUCUCCAUCUGCCAGCAGUUCGACUCCUUCUGCGAGCGCAUCUCCGGCUCGCUCAUCGGCUCCUUCGCCGCCAUGGUCCUGCUCGUCGUCCUCAUCACCCUCUCCGCGUUCGCGCUCGCAAGGCGCCACUGAUCAUAGACGUACGUACGUACGAUACGACGACCACCAUCCUGCAGCCAGCAGCCCGGCCGAUCGACCAGCGCGAUCCAUCGUGCGUGCACCAAUAUUAAUGCACGUCUUUUUUGUUCCUUUGCUUCCCUAAUUUAAUUAGCUCUGUGUGUGUUUCCUUUCAUAAAUGUAUAAGCAAGCCCGUUCGAUAUCUUUGAUACAGUUUGGAUGUGGAACUCUUAGCAUAAACUGUCCAAAUUGUGACUGUGGAACGGAAAAAUUGUGUGAAAGUGUAAGGCCUGCCUGGAAACCCGGUUUUGGGCCGUAGAAAGAAAACCGGCCCGUAAGUUUUGGACCGUAAUUGUGCUUGUAUGGGCUGUUUUGGUUGACUUCACAUUUGCCACUCUAUUCCCCAAACCCACCCACCUCCUCCCCUUUCUCGCGAAGAGAACGACGCACGCAGGCGUCGCCGUCGGCGAGCGGCGGCGGCGGACGGUGGACGGCGCGUGCGUAGCGAGCAGGGUGCGUGAGGACGGAGCUAAGCUAGCUGCUGACUAGAAGGUGAUGCAACCACUCGAGCACAGAGAAUAUUGAGUGGAUUCCUCCCUCCUCGCCCUCUGCUCGACGGGCGGUGCGUUUCUCUGUCGCUCCCAUCCCCAGCCUCCACCUCCGCCUUGCUUCUCCUGAAAUCCGGCCGUCCAGAUCUCUGCCGCCGCAGCACCGCUCCACUCCGAGCUCCGGCGAACAGCCGGCAAAUCCUAAACCCUAGACAGUGAGGGGUUGGAGCGGCGCCCGCCGCGGCGGACCGGACUGGCGGAGGGCGGGCGAUUCGCGCGACGGCCGGCGUGUGCGGCGGCGACUGCGGGUCUGCGGCGCGGCGGCGGGCGCGGCUUGGCGUUGGCGGCCGGGUGGCCGGGGUUAGUAAAGGAAGAGGAAGAAGCUGAGCGCCAGAUACCAGGCCGCCCACAAGGACCCACUGCUGGACUUCAACGACUGGAGGAAGAAAGGAGGCGUGCCCGAGGUGAAGCGGUUUGCAGGUAAACAUCUUCCUGUUUUUAGUCCCUUUUGUUUAUUGCACACAUACAAUUAACAAUUAGCAAGUUUGUAUCUAGUGGGAAGGAUUUCUGCGACUAGUAAGAAUACUCUGCUUCAACGUAGUCCUCUCGUUGAUUAACGAAAAUAUAUGGAUUCUAUUGGUCAAUUGCAAUAGUUUCAGUAUCCAUAUGAACAGAAACUAGAGGAUCUUUAUCUUCUACCUUCAUGUCAAGUAGCAAAUUGCUGCAGUUUGCAGCUUAUAUUUCGAUUGGGGAACCAGUUUUGUAAUGUCUUCAUAUGUACAAAGAACCACGUGCCAGCCAAAUGAGUCGUGGGCAGACAAGGGAAUUAUUAGUGUGUUAUACUAUACAAGCUAAUUUUUAGGCUAUUAGGUGUAUGAACAAUUUUUUUUUACCCCUUGUCAUUUCGAAUACACAAGUUCAAAAAGCUGGGUCCGCCACUGUGUCCCACUCCGGUCUCUGGGUGCCGUCGAGUCUGUGCUCCCCGUCUCUCCGAGCAUGUGGCGCCUGCUAGCCGACGAGGACCCCAACUAGGUGUUGCAACAAGCCGAUCUCUCUUGCCUCUUGCCCUGCCUCUAGGUCUCAAACCUCUCAUUUAGUGAUUUUAGUUAUUUUCAUUCUUUAGUUUGUUCACUUUCAAUUUUCAAAUGCCUAGAUCAAGACAAGUACAGAUCGAUUCGAUUUUUUUUUAAAAAAAAACUGUAGAGAGAAUUUGUAGAUGACCAACUUGAGAUAAUGAUGUGAUUUUAUAGUCCUUAAGGCUAACUUGAGACUACCGAUGUGAGAGGGGAUCCACAUUUCCUACAUUGUAAUGAUCUUAGUAAUCUUGCUGUGCUGUGGAAGUGUGAAAAUGAUUCAGAGUGAGAAAUAUGAGAACCAAGGUUACUAAGAAACCACUUGCUAGUACUGUAUUUUUUUCUUAAUGAAACCUGCUGGCAUUAACUUGGUUUUUCUACCCACAUCUUCAAUAUGCGGGAUUUUGGUAAAAAAAAUUUCUUUGUAAGAUCAUGAUAUAGAGGAUUUGAUUUUAGGAUUCUUUUGUCAUUUUAGGAUAUGAUAAGUGCUGAACUAGAGCAUAUUAUAGGUCUGAGAAAUAAUUUGUACUUCAAUAUCUCAGCAUGGUUAAGUUCGCAUUCUUUCCAUCAUACUUUACGGGUAGUAUAUUUAUGAUUUGUGAUAACAACUAGGCUUGGCUCGGGGCUUGGCGAAAUCCUGGGUCCGCCACUGGCCACAAGGGGCACUUAUGAGAUCUAAGUUGUAAAGCAACUGGCUUGUUGAGUAAAAUCACCAAGCUAUUUCAUUGUUCUCAAGAAUUCUCUCUCUGCAACCUGCAGCUCUUAUCAUGCAGCAAUGGUCUCAACAUUGUUUGAGUAAAUUCCCUGUGUACCCCUGAAAACUCACUCAAUCCCUUUCAUACCCCUAAAAUUUACCCGACCCCUUCUAUACCCUUGAAAUUUCAAUUUGAUCCCUUCCAUGCCCCUACCGUUACAUUUUCCAUCAUUUUACUGUUACGUUUGGUUGCAUAUGUCUUUUUUGCCCUUGAUGCUUUAGGUUUAAAUAUAAGCUUCAAAAAUAAUUGAAAAUUUUGUUUGAGUGCACAUCGUGUGCAUUUUAUAAAACUAAUGAGACUAAAUAAUUAGUGCAGAAAAUUUUGACAUAAAUUUUGAAAAUAAAAUAAAUGUAAAAAAUUAAAAUUUUUAUUUGAAAUUUUAAUAGGACAAUGGAUUUUUUUAUCAGGAGCAUUCAUAAAAAAAAUGUUGUGAACAUUGGUAUACCUAUCUUUAUAUGAAUGCUCCUCAUUUUUAUGACCUUUUUUUUAAAAAAUAAAUACGUAUUUUUUAUUUCAUUAUCUAAAAAUAUUUUUUUGGGAUAAAUAAUGCAUCGCACAACAAACUCAUAACUAUAAUAGUCUCAUGCGAGAAGCUUUUAUAUUUUUAAUAAUGUAAUUCAUGAAUUUCUUUGUUCAUCCAAGGGUAAAAUGGUCAUUUUUAUAGAAAAUACACGGUCAACUAACGGUCAACUGACGGGAGGGGUAUGCAAGGGAUCAAAAUCAAAUUUUGGGGGUAUAUAAGGAAGUAAGCAAAAUUCAGGGGUAUAGAAGGGAUUAGGAAAAAUUUCAGGGGUAUAUAAGGGAUUUUCUCACAUUGUUUAUGCAUCGAGUGCCGUGUGCUAAAAUUUAUUUGUGUUGUCUGUUCACACGUUUAGCAAUUCCUUGUUUGCAGAAGCAUAACAGCAGUCUAGCUUGACAACAAUGUCAGUCCUUCGCUCCAUUCUCCCGACAGUAGCAAGAAACAAUGGUUGGAGAUGCUUUGCUACUGGGUUUCCUUCCGAUACUAUAGCAGAGCUCAAUAAGGUGAGGGAUUUGAUCUCUAUCUCUGCCCUGAAUAUUUCCUUUUGCAGCUAUGGUUUUGGUGUUACUGACAUGAACAUGUAUGUUUGUGGCUUGGUGAUUUGUUUAAUGGCUGCUAUAAAACCCUUUUUUUUCUCAUUUGGUGUUACUGACAUGAAGCUCACUGAAACUGAGUAUGAUGUAUAUGACCUCAUCGAUAUCUAAUUGGGAUUUCAAUAUCAUUGUGUUGGGUUAAUCUAAUGUUCAUUUUUUAUUUUGAACAAACGCAACCACAUGAUUUUGAAUACAGAUCACAUUGAUUAUUGUUUGUUGAGAGUGGAAAUAGAGUUUUUAACUGAAACUAAACUGUCUAUUGCUCAUACUCCUAUAUACCUGAACUGUUACCUGAUCAGAUAGUUUCUAAUAUAUGCCAGAGCUGUAAGCUGGUGCUUAUGUAUUCGACCACUUAAUUGAACUAGUAAUGUAAACUAUAUGAUUUUUACAAGUAAACUCCACUACAGCAGGAACAAAAUAGUCGGAUCUUAACAUGUCCUGAUGCACUUUUGAGUUCUUGCCAAUUUUUAUCCAUACUACAAUGAUGCACAAUAUAGCUUUUUUUUACUUUACAAUUUUGUGCAUGAUUUAGAACUUACCGUCUCAAUUAAUUGAUAUAAUUUAGAAAGCAAAAGUAAAAUCUAAAUGCAGAUAUGUAACUUGGUGUUGUGCAGCAUCGUCAUAAAACAUCUCCAUCUAGUUUAUUUAUCAUUUUUCAUUAAAAUAAAUUAUUAAUUAUCUUGACAUUUGCAAUACCAGGAAAUGGAAUCUGUGUUUGGUGAAUCUCCUUCACCCAGUCCUUUAGGUUCAACUCCUCAGCAACCAGCAAGGCCCACUAAUGGAUCAGGGGAUGGACAACCAAUGCUUACCCAUACUGAUAGCAGUGGCCAGGCAAAGAUGGUUGAUGUCUCAUCCAAGCAUGACAGCACAAGAGUUGCUAUAGCCACAUGCAGGGUCUUGCUAGGCCAGGAGGCAUUUGAUUUGGUAGCAUCAAACAAGAUUGCCAAAGGAGAUGUUCUAACUGUUGCAAAGAUUGCUGGAAUAACUGGUGCAAAGCAAACCAGCAACCUCAUACCGCUGUGCCACAACCUUAAUCUAUCCCAUGUUCGUGUUGAUCUUACUCUUAACGAAGAAGAUUCUAGUGUUAUGAUAGAAGGAGAAGCUUCAACCAGUGGCAAGACAGGGGUUGAGAUGGAAGCAAUGACAGCAGUUGCCAUUGCUGGUCUCACAGUCUAUGACAUGUGCAAAGCUGCUUCAAAGAACAUAUGCAUAACAGAUAUCUGUCUCCAGCACAAAUCUGGUGGAAAGAGUGGAAGCUGGUCCAGAAGUUAGACAUUUAUGUGAAUCACAAGAAUGAAUUGGGUACCAAAUUUCAUAACCACCAUACCAAUAGGUUCUGAGGCUUCAAUAAAUGUUUGUUGGAAUAUUUUUACUUCUAGUAAUCGGAUUAAUUUUACUCUCUAAUAUCGCACAAUGCACUGUUCAAUUAUUUUAGGAUGACUGGAUAUAUAUUACCUGAUGUGAAAUGCAUCUUUUCCCUGAUGUAGUAUCAGUUCUUCAUCACUUAUUACUGCAUAUUAUAUAACGUUAUGAAGUGCUAUGCACAUGACUUAUCAACAUAAGGUAGAUAGCAAUCAAGGUAACUAUAGUGAGAUAUUUAUGGUACUGUGUUGGAAGAGUUUUAGGUGCAGAAACAUAUAGGUUUUAGUUGUACAUUAGAUAUAGUUCGCAGAAUUAUAAUGUUGAUAGUAGUAUCGAUCUGAGGGUACUUUUUUUUUAAUGUUUCGUUACAAUGUGGUAGAAUGUAUUUCUUCCAUAAACACAUGGGCAAUAAAGUGAAACACAGGAAAUCAAGAAUGAUCGGUCUCCUACAGUUUUCUUUGUCUGCACUUCAGUCAACUUAAUCUGUUGCAUAAUACUUUAGAUGGCAUUGCUUUUGAACAUGACAUGUUUAUAUGCCAUGUCAGAUGAUAAAAAAAUGCAUUAGUUAAAGUCUUCAAUCAGUAUAGCCAACUAGCUGAUAAAUCGUGACAUCUUAAUCUUAAUCUUCAUCUUGACAACCUUAUUAUACUUGGACAUACAUCUUGUAUGGACUCUUUUUGUAUUGAACCCUUCGCCCAAAAACUCAGGAGCUGGAAAUCCUAAUAAUGAACAACAGAAGGUAAUAAUUUGCUUUCAUUGAAUGACGCAUGCAAGGUUUCAAACAUCCAAACUUCUCGGCCUAGUUCCUAUCAAUAUGAUGAUGUUAUUGCUUAUUUGCAGGCAGUGACAAAAUUGUUGUCCUGACCGUGCCUAAUUCUUUAAGUGGUAUCGUAUUUGCAUUUGGUUAUUUUGAUAAUCUUAUCACUUUCUGAUGAUGCAGGGAAAACAUUUUUAUCUUGAUGUGCUUAAACAUGACGAUUUUUAAACCUAUUGGCCGGACAUGCUAGAGGUGAGACAAUGACUCAGGGAAGGGACGACAGAACUGACAUAGCACAUCAAAAUCAUUUCUACGUGAUGUUUAGCUGACCAUUUUCUUCUCUAGUUACACAAUGUACAUAACACUUGUGAAUGGUAUGGAACUUUUAGUUUAUACAGAACAGAUCUAAACGGACCGUGACAUAUUGACAUCACCCUGGAGUAGUUGGGACUUGGUUUUUUUUUUGUUCUUUUCUCUUCUAAAUUUUGACAAAUGAACACCUGGAUGGAAGGUUUGAGUAAUAUAUAAUGAGCUAGGCAUAUUGUAUGGCAUGCAGGUUUUGCACUAGUUGGCUGCUCAUCUCCUGUAAUCUGGCCACCGUAGCCAUUGACUCGAUUUGGAGCCGACAAUAUAUAGAACAUCUGACAUUCCAAUUCUUUAUUAUCUUCCCAACAGAUCGGCUAUUGAAAAUGUAUCCUUUUUCUCUGAUGAUGGCAUCAGAAGAGGUCAAUUUCUGCGCGGCGUCGUUCCAACCACUCAGAAAUAGUUCUUUUGGCCAGCGAGAGUAAGCAGCUAUAAGCAUAUGAGAUAUGCAACAAGCACAUUUUUGGUCAAUGAUCCCUGGUCACCUGGUGUCUGCUUCCCUAACAGAUCUUGUGGAUCUUGAUUUGACCAGCAUUUCAGGAUAGUGAGUACAAUUUUCUCUCGUAUUUAUUAAUAUUUCAGCAUUAUGAGUCAUAUAUGAACAACAUAUAUUUCUGACUUCUUAUGCAUGAACAUUAUGCUGUCUGUCUGCAAAGAAUUGAAUAGACCUUGUUGGUACAACAAUACUAACUAGUGCUCCUUUUAUUUUAAACCGAGCAAACAGCACAUAAUUGAUCUAGAAAGAUGUCUUUGCCUAAAGCAUAGAGAGAGAGAGAUCCAAGCACUUGGCCUUCUUUCCUUUUCUGCUAUUGGUUGUUGACAACCUAACAUUAGCAUCUUGUCAUGUCAGUCGAGUGAUUCCCUGGUUCCUUCACCCAGAAUUAUCAGGUGCUACUGGCUUGAUAUGGACAUAUGGUCUAUCUGAAUCUCAAUUAAGAGAGUUAAGUAUAAAAGCCCUUAUGGAAAAGUUGACAGAUGUGAUGAGAAAGUGCUGCCACGUCAAAUAGGAUAUGAUUAUAAAGGGGCCAAACUUAUCAGAAUGUUGCACCGGGGGGUUUGGCGAAACUAAUGAAAUACAUAUCUGUGCGUGCUACAAGACGAGAGACGUGAUGAUUCGAAAAAGGAAUCGAGUCAAAAAUGCAUGCUAUGAACACCUAUAUCGUUAAAGAAACAAAGUUCUCACUGAAAGCACUCGUGUCCUUUCUGAUCGGCAUGUGAAUGACAACAUAUUGACAGUUGCAUUAUGAUGGCAUUAGCAGCAACCGUAUUCACAUCUCAGCCAUAUUGUUUUGUAGCCACAUUUUUGCAACACUUGAGUUUGGUAUUGGGAUUUGCAUGGUUUGAUCCACAAUUUGUUGUCAUGCUAGCAUACUUGUAGAAACUUUGCUCUGCCAGAAUCUGGCUAACUUGACGCGACCGAAUUGGACGCCAAAUAUAAAAAAAAUGUCUGUGUUCAGUGGUACCAAAGCAGCCACCUAAACAAUUCUACUCUUGUUCUUUUCAGAAAGCCGGAAAAUCUGACAGUGCAUCAGCCUGCCCAUAUAUCAGGUAUUCCUACAUGUUAUUUGACAGCCUAAAAUAUGUCCACAAUUUUUCAACGCCUAAUCCGAUCCGUGGCAUGAGGUGAUAAUCAGUAGUUUUAUGGAUUAACAACUCAGAGCUAUAGUAUACUACAUUUUUUCUGAAGGACGCGUGGAAGUCUACAAUUCCCUAAGAGUCACGAGUACAAUCACCUAUGGGGCAUUUUUCUACGUACGUGCAAUAUCAUAUACCCACAAGAAAACGUACGUGCGCACACAUGGCAACGAAGCAUUUGCCCAAACCAAUCAGCACGACGGAAAAGAAAUCAGCAAGCGAACGAGAAGCAAUGCAACCACGACAAAGCAGCAGAUAUCAUUCUAUAACGAAAACGUCCCCGUCGAAACGGAACGGGGCAAGCCUACGUACCCGGCCACCUCAACAUGCCAAAAGUCGUAAGUACGCGUGAUGCCAUAUCCCCCCCCCCCCCCCCCCGGGGUUAUUUUUUGAUUCGCCAUGCACUAUCGUGACACCAAGCCGAUCUGGCAGUCUGAGCCGUUCAACCGGCGGGAGAGGGGGAAAAAAGAGAGAAGAAUCGGCCCCGCGCCCCGCUACGUAGCCGGGUGGCACCCAUGGUGAUUGGCGAUGCGAGUGCCGUGCGUGCGCGCGUGAGAAGCGGGGAUUAUUUUUUCUUUCAUUUUUUCCCGGUGGAUGUGGACAUCGACCGGUAAGAGAGACGACCGUGAGAUCCCCCGCACGGGCGGGACUCCUCUCUCUCCGCGCGCGCGCGCGCGGCUGCCACGACACGCGUCGCGGUGGUCGCCCACACCGAGAAAGGAAACCCGUGGCGCUCGCGUGAUCGAUCGCCUACUACACGCCUCCCGCUGUGACCUGCCCGUUUCGGCGUGCCCGGCUCCUUGCCGCGCGAAAGGGGCGCGCGCGCGCGGCCGCGCGUGAGCAACACCGGGUGAUCGGCGGCCGUGGUGCGUGUGCUAGCGUUUUCUCGGCGGAAGUCGAUCGGCGUAUCGGCGCGCGCGCGCGGCUGCGCGGAGGAAUCGAUCGACCGUGACGCGUACGUCCGUGUCGGGCUUUGUUUGCUUGCAGGAGGGUUACGUUGUUUGGUCGACGGACGCGAUCACGCGACUGUGUUAGUACGAUAAACACUUGUCACGUAGGUACAAAAUAAAUUAGCGAAGACGCGUAAAAGUUUCCAACGUACGGUGGUGACAAAACACCAUUAGGCUGGCCUGGCCCUGAACGUACGGGAAUAUACGUUGCAAUGUGAGUGAGGAUCGGACAUAGCUUUCUCUGUCUAUCCCAGAAAAUCACAGCUCGGGUUCAUACCCGGUUAAGUGUCCCAAAUUCUCACAGGUCAAGUUCACAUCCGGAGACCGAGACCACGCAAUGAUUUGAUCCCGAAAACCGUAGCUCAUGAUAGAGGGGGGUAGCAGCACUAUCGAUUAUUGAUCCAGCAGCGCGUUGUGCUGGACGUGUACUUUGAAAGAAGCCGUUUUGUCGGCUGCCGAUGAGCAGAACCCAUGAUCGCCAUGCAUGACAGCAUGGAAGGGGGCAGGCUCCAGAGAUUUUCAGAAAUUCAGAGACGAGGAUUGCCUCGAUGGCACAUCGACAUGACACCAAUCAUCCCGUGUAGGAUCCAUUUGGUGCGCGCACGCGCACACACACACAGAGUACAUAUCAUCAUGCCACACAUCUUAAAGCAUCAGCUGAUGCACGCGUUGCGUUGGAGAGAUCACAGAGAGUUCUUCCUUUGCAACGGAGUGUCGUAGCAGAUGACUAACUGAUGAUGGUGUUUUGCAACUGGCUGCAGGCUCCUCCCAUUUGUAGAUAGAUGCGGCUCUAGCUUUUUCAAGUCCCUUGUGUGGUAAUAUUCGAUCUUUUUCUGCGUUUUCCGCAAAGCGUUAAAUGCUGGACGGAACUCCGAACUCGUCUUGGAGAUGGCGUUUUUCUUUUCCGUUGUGUUCAGUUUGUCUCUUCCUUAAGUUUGUUGACAGCAACACAGCACUAACCGAGGAUUCAGGAUGCAUCGGCAAACUGAUAAGAGCUUCUUGGUGAAUUUAUUGCGCGAGCAGAAGCACCACUGUAGCAGAUAUUUCGCACGAAAAUGAUGUCAAAUAUCUCAUUGUUUGUUCUGGCUUGUUAACCAAAAUCACACUCAUAAUCAUCAUGCAUGGACCUACGCACAUUUUUGGUUGAUACAGUGGAUGAAGUAAUAUGUAGUAGUGUAAAUUAGACAUAUGAAUUCUUUAACCAGACAUUUGAAUUCCCCAUCAGCAGUAUUCUCUGCGGCCUGAACAUAUGGGGGCCGGGGACAUUUCAGACGUUUGCCCCAUUUCUGACAGCCGCGGAGAAUAAUGCACAGUAGCAUGGCGUUUGUCACACAUAUCCGUUCUAAGCCCCACAAAACCAAGUGGAUCCUCUGUGCUGUGCUGUGCAUUGCAUGUACCUGCAGGGCUGCAAAGAGAACACAGGUACAUUGGCUCUGCAGAUCUGCAUAUUAUCUUACGGCCUUUGCAGAAACGGAGAGAAUAAUUCUCCCCCAUUGGAUUGCAUGUAUACAAGCAGCAGAAUGUUGUGCACAUCCACUGCUAUUACACAAUAGUAUCAGCCUGUGACCAAUGUGCUGUCACUGGGCUACAGGAUCAUCGUGCCACUGCCAGUUUGUCACCGAUUUGAUUGGCUUAUCUCCUGGGAGAUUCUCCUUUUAAGGGUUUAAGUACCCCUGAUUCUAAUCAGGUUCAGGGCAAAUGAUUAUACGUACUACUGUACAAUCCCUGCAGAAAAUUACGCACAAAGACCAAAUAUCAAGGUUUGCUAUGGACUGAAUAUAUCUUUUGUUUGCGCCUGGACGUCGGUAGCUACCCCAGAUAUUAAUUAAUUAUUUGAAUUAGUGAUUUUGUACCAAAUGAUCGAACCAGCUCAUGCUUAGCAUGAAGCUAAUAAAUUCUCCCGUUUAUUGCAGUACUCGAAUACAAAUAGUAGGUGUACUACUCGCCAUGGAGUCUGCUCUAAUUCGUUCUCAAAAGCUUCUGGAGACGAAGGAUUGGUUUGGUCGCUUUCUCGGUUGCUGCUCGGCUCGCGUGUCGCAUAUGACGCUUUACUUAAUGCUGCUAGUAGUACUCAUAAUUUCCAUUAAUUAAGACUCAUUUAAUUAGUAAUGCACCAAAUCCUUAAAUCCAGCCAGAUCAGAUCAAAGUCAUCCUAGGGUAAAACACUCUGAUCUGAUGGAUCACUAGCCACUAAAUUAAUCCGGUGAUUGAUCAUGUGUGGAAGCAAGUUUUGGCUCGUUACAAGGUACUAUUACAUAACACUACGCUGUCCUGUAUAGCUAUCUCAUCUAUCUCUUCCCAUGCAUUUUUCACCUACUAGCUAGUACUCCAUCCGUUUUAAAAUGUUUGACACCGUUGACUUUUUAGCACAUGUUUGACCGUUCGUCUUAUUCAAAAAUUUUUGUGAAAUAUGUAAAACUAUAUGUGUACAUGAAAGUAUAUUUAACAAUAAAUCGAAUGAUAUGAAAAGAAUAAAUAACUACUUAAAUUUUUUGAAUAAGACGAAUGGUUAAACACGUACUAAAAAGUCAACGGUGUCAAACAUUUUGAAAUGGAGGGAGUAGUAACCUGUGAUGAGUUUCCUUCAUCACCCACGUCUCUUUCUACUAAAAAGACCAUCAUGUAGCUCGCCUCUAGUAUUUAAGGGGCACCACCACCCCUCCCACUUUAUUUCCUCUAUACAACGAUUUCCUCUUGUCACCCUGAAUCUACUUCUGCUGCAAAAGGUAAUUAGCAUAUCCUAACUAUUUAUCACCUCAUCCCUCAAGUGUGUUCUUCUACUUUCUUAGAUGUACUUUUUAAACUUUUCUGUGCAUAAACAUCUCAUGUGCUGAUUCUUUUUGUGUGUUCUAUGUGCUUGCAUACCAUGUCCGUUUGGUUCGAUUCGAUUUUUUAAGCAUCCGUGUGGUUUGUUUUUGUUCUAGCUUAGCUAGCUAGCUAGCAAAGAGGUGUCAUGGAUACAUACCAGCUUUAAUUUGAUUUGGUUUGCUCUACCUUUAAAAGUGUGUGAAUCAUCUCCGGUCCUAGUUUAUGCAUAUCUGUGUGCAUAUGUACAAAUGUUUCAGGACAGGAGUUGGCAUAACAGCUAACAAAUCUUACAUAUAUAGCAGCAAUAAGCAAGGAGCAGUUAGCCAGGUAAAGCUCUAGCUAGCUAGCUUAGGCAGCAAUGGAGCAGCAUCAGGGCCAGGCAGGCAUGGACUUGCCCCCUGGCUUCCGCUUCCACCCGACCGACGAGGAGCUGAUCACGCACUACCUCGCCAAGAAGGUCGCCGACGCCCGCUUCGCCGCCCUCGCCGUCGCCGAGGCCGACCUCAACAAGUGCGAGCCCUGGGACCUGCCAUGUAAGCAACCUCUCCUCUACUUAAUUACCUCUGCAAUCUGCAUGCAGUGAUGAACUGAUGAUUGAUAUAUACAUGGAUCAUUGGAUUGGCUAGCUAGCUAACAUCUGUUGAUGCUGCGAUGGAAUUAUUGGCAGCUCUGGCGAAGAUGGGGGAGAAGGAGUGGUACUUCUUCUGCCUCAAGGACAGGAAGUACCCGACGGGGCUGAGGACGAACAGGGCGACGGAGUCCGGGUACUGGAAGGCCACGGGGAAGGACAAGGACAUCUUCAGACGGAAGGCCCUCGUCGGCAUGAAGAAGACGCUCGUUUUCUACACGGGGCGCGCUCCCAAGGGGGAGAAGUCUGGCUGGGUCAUGCACGAGUACCGCCUCCACGGCAAGCUCCACGCCGCCGCCCUCGGCUUCCUCCACGGCAAGCCCGCGUCGUCCAAGGUACACGAACGCACGUACGCCGCGUGCGUGUGUUUGGUUGUGACCAGUUUGAUCGAUCGAUCGAUCGAUCGAUUGAGCAGGCCGGACUGACACGCCGUGGGUUUUUCUUGUUGGUGCGUAGAACGAGUGGGUGUUGUGCAGGGUGUUCAAGAAGAGCCUCGUGGAGGUGGGCGCGGCGGGAGGGAAGAAGGCGGCCGUGGUGACGAUGGAGAUGGCGAGGGGAGGGUCGACGUCGUCGUCCGUGGCGGACGAGAUCGCCAUGUCGUCCGUCGUCCUCCCUCCGCUGAUGGACAUGUCCGGAGCCGGCGCCGGCGCCGUCGACCCGGCGACGACGGCGCACGUGACCUGCUUCUCCAACGCGCUGGAGGGCCAGUUCUUUAACCCGACGGCAGUACACGGGCACGGCGGCGGCGACUCCUCGCCGUUCAUGGCGAGCUUCACGCAGUACGGGCAGCUGCACCACGGCGUGAGCCUGGUGCAACUCCUGGAGAGCUGCAACGGCUACGGCGGCCUCGUCGACAUGGCAGCGUCCGGCAGCCAGCUGCAGCCGGCGGCGUGCGGCGGCGAGCGGGAGAGGCUUAGCGCGUCGCAGGACACCGGCCUCACCUCCGACGUGAACCCGGAGAUCUCGUCAUCCUCCGGCCAAAAAUUCGACCACGAGGCCGCGCUAUGGGGCUACUAAGGUUUGAUAUGAUCAGCGCCGUGUACGUUAAUCGCGGGCGAUUAGCGAAGUAGCGAUUACUGUAAAUAAAACCAUGAGAUCGCGAUCGAGGCAUCUACCAAGGUUCGCUUAAUUUGCUUGUACCUAUAGGUGUAGAUUAUUUGGUGAUUUGGGAGAUGUAAUUAGCAUUGUUUGUUUGUAAUUCGUAUCAGAAUGAUCGAUGCAGUAUUGUUUGGAGGGUUAGUUAAGCAAUUGGCCACUCCUCAGUUGCCAGUUAAUUAGUUAGAGUUGCUUAAUUUAGCUCUUUCUAAAAAGCUAGCAGAGACUAAUAGCUAACUGUGAUCUCAUCCUGAACCUAAAAGUUUGACCUGCUGUGUGAUAUAGUAGCUGGUACCAUCAGCUAUAGCUAAUCUAGCAUUUAAAGCAUGAUUCGGUUUGGUCCAUGACUAGCACAUCUCAACCAUCGUACACAAAGCUCUAAUCCCCAAUUAGUGAUCAGCUAGUAGCUCCAUUGUCCUUGGGCGAUCACAUCACAUCGCAACCCUUACACAGUGCACAUGACACAACAGUGGCCCCCGGCUAGCUAUCUAUGCAGCUUAGCUUAGGUUGGCACACACAAGAACACACAACGCCCUACAUGUCACCAAUUUGGUUCCCAUGCCUUGUCUCUACGCAGGCAUGGGGCCCCUAAUGAUAUGAGCAAGCACUUGUCAUAUGAAUGUGUGGGACCCACCCUGAUUGAUGGUGGCUUCUCCAUAGAGCUAGCCCAUAUGUUGUUUUCAAUCAAAAUCCUGAGAAAUUAAAUAUAAUUAUAUGUGGCAGCUAACAGGGGCCAGUUAGGUCAACUAAUCAAAGCUCCUGCAUUUUGCCUCCCUGCCAUGAGCUAGCAAAUGCUGCAAGGACAACUGUGCUGCUUCUAGUAGAUCUCUUAUGCCUACUAGUCCUGAAUUAUAGAGAAAAAAAACUCUUCUGCUGUAACCCAAAAAAAAAAACCAUGUAGGGCAGCUCGCAUAGAUUUUAUAUGAGUACGAUCUCCUUUUGUUUAGUGUGUCUCGUAUCUUUGGACAUCAUCUCCCUCGGGAAUUCUAUUCCAUCCUGCCAAUUAAAGAUGUCAGCAAAGACAACUGUCCAUUUGAUAAAGCUUUGUACUUCCAACGCAAUAUCCAUUGUGCUCGAUCAAAUUAAAUCAGUGUGCAUAUGUCUAUUGUACUCGUACAAUGGAUUGUUGCAUCCGCUUAGUUUAUUGGACAUUUUAAUGGAGUGUACUAGAGAUAUUACUCCAAGAUAUAUACAACUGUUUGUGGUUUAUUAGUCUCCUUUCCAUUAUUCUCAGAUAAAAGUACAGCUUUUAUUUUUUUAUAUUACUUUAAUGUUGAUAGUGGGCCACCGCCACCCCUAUCACUUGUGUGAGAAUAUUUGUGGAAUUUUUGUGCCCCCUAAUUCAAAUGCUCCUGAUUCCCAAUUCCCAAUUUGUCCUUUGAUUCUGUUGCAACACACAAACAAAUAAGCUAUUUUUUUUAAAAAAAAAAUCUCAAUUGUGCUUGUACUUUCCUACCCCGGCCCAACAAAGACGAAGAGGAAAAAAACUAAACGAACAAAGAAAGUAAAAUAUAAAAACAACUUAAUUAUAUGUGAAACUAGAAAAGUUAUUAAUUAAUAUUAUGCAAAAAUCUCUAACAACAUCAACAAAUCAAAUAGAAUAUUCAUGUAGUAGUUAUAUCGAUAUAUACAGUCGAUUAUGAAAUAUUGCAGGGGAUUCGGGGAUCAGGUGCAUUUAAACAAUGAUGAUUAAUUAUGUGCCAUUCUUUAAUUUGUCAUUGUUAAAUACUUGUAAUUAGCUAGAUUAAUUUGUAAAACUUUCAACAUGGAAAUGUUCAGAUUUCAAUUCACAAAACUACCUUUCGCACGAAUUCCGAUCUCGAAAACUACAAAGAUAUUUUCAAAAAAAAACAUAACGAACAAAAUAGUGUGCAUUCAAGCUUUUUAAUAGAGCAAGCUAGUCCUUCAUUCACAAUCAAGAUAACAUCCUGCAAAAGCGAGCCCCCUAAAGCAGCAUAUCUCUCAUUGUGAAUGGAGACCGUCAAUGUCAAUGAGGGAGCGAGUAGCUGAAAAAAUGUAGUUUGGGGAUCAGCAUUAGGGUUUGGGACCCCUGAAGUGUAGCUCAGUCACAAUGCCAGCACUAGCUAGGGGCUAUUUUGCCUUGGAAUAAUGAGAUAUGAGGGCUGGUGGGUGGGAUAGAGAUCGAAAUGAGCGAAGAAUUAGGACGAAAUGAGGUGGGAAAAAAAUAGAUAGCUAGUGUGUAAAAGUAACCCCAUGAUGUGUAGGAAAUUACUUUCAUUUCCUAUUAUCCAAACGAGUAGCCUAGUAGAUGAUGGAUAAUAAUAAGUAACGACGAUGCUAGAUUUUCAGUACUAAAAUCAUGGAUAUAUUCAAGUUGUGCACAACGUCUAUUAUGGGACUCGUGAGAGAGGGGUAUUAAUUAGUACUGUGAGCUAUGUCAAAGUGACAAGUCAAGCAUAAGUGGAUAGAUGAACCUUAUUGUCAAUAACCUAACCUCUCCAGCAUCGAGGAUAGCCCCAUGAAGCUACUUGCCCAUUAUGCAAUGGAAAAUGGAGUCUUGUGGACACCUCAUGUACAUUAUAUGUAUACUCCAAGUAAUUAGUUUAGGGCUUGGAGCGCGCAACGUUGGUCCUUUCUCUCCCUCUCUCUCCAUCUACUUUAGGUAAUUUUUAGAUUUAGUGGAGUUACUACAAGGAUGGGAUUGUAUCAAGGGGCAUCAAAGUGUUACAGGUUUUAUUCAUGUAGCACUUUGUAAGUUGCGGAUUGUUCGAACGGAACACUCUGUAAAUACAUAUGUUACUGAGUGCUUGUCCGUUAUACUAGAGGAAUGACAAACACAUAAUAAAAUGUAGGUUUCUUCGCAAUGAAUAAGAAUAUUUGUUAAUUUAACCAAUUAAUGUUUGUUUAGUGUGUUAAAUUUGUUGUAAGUGUGGUGUGAGCUCUCGUAAGCCUUUUUCUCAAUGACCCAUGGUUGUUGAGUAUUUGUAAUGCUUUUCUGACAACUUCAUUCUUCGUCGAUAUUUCACCAGCCUGGCAAAAAAUGAACAUGGAUUCCCAUGGUGGUGCCACUUGUCAUUCUUAGCUAUCGUGCAAAUUCAGUGUACCAUUUGAUAUCACUACAUGCUCAAAACAAACAUUUUGAUUUUAUAGCUAAUAACUAAUACUCCCUCCGUUUCAUAAUGUAAGACUUUCUUUGUAUUGUCCAUAUCCAUAUGGAUGUUAAUAAAUCUAGACAUAAUAUUUAUAUGAAUGUAGGCAAUGCUAGAAAGUCUUACAUUAUGAAACGGAGGAAGUAGAUAUAAGGAGAUAAUGAUGAUAUCCCUAAAAUACUAUAAUAAAAUUAAUUAGUUUUUAGUAAGUGGGACAUAAACUGUUGACUCAAUUAACAUAUUAGAUAUAACCAGCCUUCGUUGGUAACUUUUAAAAACUUUGAUUUAAGUCAAAUGUAAAAUGAUGCUUUGGACGCAAUGGAACCAUCUCUCCGUCUUUGCGCACGAGACAGAGAAUACUUCUGAAAAUAGAAACAUACCUAGGUAGAGACGAUCCAACAAGAGAUUCUCUUGAUUCUCUCUUAUAGUGCCUUGUGAGGUGAAUGGUUUUCUUUCAAACAAUGGUAGUACAACUUCCGCCCUAUACCCCAACUAAGAAAUGCACACAACUAUAUUUCUAGACAUAAGGAUUUGAAUUCCGAUGGUUAAAGUCAUACAUCACAAUUCCACCAUCAUCCUAAUACAUGGUGCUUCUCCAAGUGAAUGCUUUGGUUUGUAAAACAAGUAAUUAAGUUAAGUAUGUUAUUUGCGGUAGAUGUAAAGAGAAGGGUGUAGGUGGGUAAUUAACCUGACUUUUCCCCUCACUUUUUAGGUUGCUAUUUUAUACAGUACCUUUGAUGUUUAUGCAAGAUGCACCUUUAAUUAGUUGAUUCCAACCCGGUCAGUUUAGGAUAUAACAAGUGGAGAAUUUCAUGUGAACUCAAGAAAGGAAAGGCAGAUGGUUAGUUUAGAGUUUCAGAAAUAUACUAGGUUGGAUUCUGUGGGCAAAACUAUUAGCAGUUUGAUAAACGAAUGAAAUUGACACCAAAACUAUAUUAAUUAUCCUCUAUCAUAACCUUAUACAAGUGUUCAUAUAUAUAGCAACUCGAUCUUCACUUAUAAAAUCGACCGCUAUAUAUAUGUUUAUUAUGCCCAUGCCCAACCCCUGCUGUGUCAUCACGGAACCCCACCGAGAAAAAGAAAGGGGUCGAGAGGGGCUGCAAACCGGCUAACUCUUGGCUCUCCGCCUAUCGGUCUAUGAAAAGAACAAGCCACAACUUGGCGAUAGCUAGAUAUAUAUUCCAGCUCUGAUGUGUCGUUGGAACUGUCAAGCCAUGCCAUCAAUCUCUCCCACGAGAAAAUAUUCCAAACCCCCUCAUCAGAUCAGCGCCUUGUAGGCUUCUGCUGCUCACCAGUAACCCCCACUCCCCCAGCUUGUUCCCUUGCGCCAAGUAGCACAAACUAAUAUAACUACUAGUAGUAGAUUACUAGAUUAUUAUUAUUAACCGACUUACCGACCUAGUACCUUAUUGGCGACUGCCUAUGUAUACGAAUCUACAGCUAGCAGCAGCUGCAGCCGCAUGCAACGCGAUCUAGCUUGUUGCGCGCUGUGCAUGGCGUCAGCGCUAGAGAAGGGCAUGUAUGUACUUACGCUCUGGUCGUUUGUCGCGCGCCGAUCCAUCCGGUGGCGCGCGUGCAGGGAGGCAAGCCGAGAUGUGUCGUUCACGGGGCGCGACGGACAACGAUCCCCAUGGGUGUGGGGGAAGCGGGGGAGAGGGAACACGCGCGCCUCCAUGCAAAGCUAGCUAAGCUAGAGUCCAUUGUUGGCAUGUGGCGGAUAGUUUGUACGCACGUAUAGGAGGAGGCGCGACUGCGCGAGGGACAGAAUGUGUACCGAUCGACGCGUCGCUUUCCGCCCCUCUGCAUGCGCGCGGAGCAUUCGCGUCGGUCGCCCGGCACGCGUACGGCGUGCGACCGCGCGGUCGCAAUGGGAUUGUAUGGCAUAUGCCACGCCGCGAGGCUGACACAAACGGCGGGUGUUUGAGGCCAAACAAAAGGCUUAACAAGCAAAAAGCCAGCAUGUAUACCUGUUAAUCAGGUCGGCAGGUCUUUGGGGCUUUGAUGUACUGAUGAACCGUUGUUGAGGCCCAUCUAAAGAGUGAAGAUAAGCCUGUUGCCAUAUGCGGCAUCUCGGCCUUGCAAACGCCAGGCCCAUUAAUUGAGUGAGAAGCCCUAUGCGGCCUGUCUAAAGAAAAGGCAGCCUAAACAAAAAGAGAACAGUUCACGUUCAUUAAAGAAAUAAAAAAAAGGAAUCCGAAAUGGUUCGGGGUAUUAUUGAACCCGACGUGAAUCGAACACGCAACCUUCUGAUCUGGAGUCAGACGCGCUACCAUUGCGCCACGGAUCCUGUGGUACUAUUUGAAGAAUGAAAAGAUAUAUAUCUUUCUUUUUGCAUAUAAAUGAGAGAAAUGUACAACUCGCAUAUAUUACUCCACAAUUUAUUCCGGUAUUUCCUGAGCUCCUUUCCUCGAUCAAUUUUCGACUCCACGCCACGGGCAAACUCUGACUCAUGCAUACAUGGCUCCAUGUCCGGACUCAGCAGACUCGUAGAGAGGCAGGCGGUACGUCGUUAGUUAGGAGCACGUACGUAGCAUUUCACCCUAACGCCCUGACCCUCUCUGUCCGUGCACCGUGCACGGUAGAUCGUACUACCUUCACGCAUAACCCAGGUCCAGACUCCAGACCCGUGGCCUCCUUUGACCAUAAUAGUCCUCCCGUAAACGAUGAAGCAAAGGAACAAAACACUGCAAGGUACUACACUGACUUACCGACUGACUGACCGCAUCCGCUGCACCCUGGCGGUGCCAUUAAUACGAGGAGAUGCCGGCAAAGCGGCAGCAAAUCACCCGCCCCGAUUUGUCCGAGCCGUGAUUUGUCGCUCGGAGAAACGGGAGAAGUAUCCGAUGCGAGUGCCGCGCGCUAACCGCGCCGGCGCGCUUACGAACCGAGCAAGGUCGCCGGCCGACGGCCGCUGAAACCGGCAGGCAGGCAGGCAGUAGCAGCCUAGCAGGCAGCUACUAGCCUACUACUACCCUCUUCCGCUUGCCAUUGGCCGAUCGAGCAACCAGCCGCCGGCCGGUCCUCUCCCGCCGCAGUAACCACUGGCCACGUGAUGCUGUCGUCCGGCCCGAUCCGAUCGAUCCACACAGCACGAGGCCGCGCGUUCGCCGUCGGUUGCGCCGUCAUCUCCUUGCUUGUACCGUAGGAGUAGUACUACUACCUAUUCCUCCGUCCCAAAAAAAAAUAAAUCUUAGUUAUAAUUCUGGAUACGUAUAUGUUUAGAUUUAUUGAUAGAAUUGGAUUCUUUUUAGACGGAAGGGUAACUACAUACGCUGUAUACGCGCGCCGUACAGCGGCGGCCGGCGGAUGCGUGCUCUAGCCUGAUUCGCCGAUCUUCCGAAGGAUCCGGACGGGCAGCCGAUCGAGCAUGCUCACGUCAGGUUCAUCAACCGUUCGGUCGUACUCGUACCGCUGCACUUUUACCCCAGGCCAGCGCGCCACGGCGUCCGUGCAGCGAACGACGACUUGACUGCACGAUCGUGGGAUGUACAUGAGUACAUCGUGUGUAUUGUAUCCUCCUACUACAGUAUUGCUAGUCAGCGAAGGACAAAAUCGUACUUUCUCUGUUUCAUAAUAUAAAUCAUUUUAGCAUUUCUCACAUUUAUAUUGGAUGUUAAUGAAUCUAUAUAUACAAUGCUAAAAUGACUUACGUUAUGAAACAGAGGGAGUAUUUGACACUAGCAGCUGAAUACCGCAUGUACACGUAUGCACGUGCACGUUCCAUCCCUUUGAUUCUCCGAGUUGGGAGUAAAAUCAUUGUGAAUAUAGUAUGAUAUACAAGGGGAAUAUGCUUGUACAACCAAAAUGACUUUGCGUGCAUGAUUGAUGCCUUUUCCUUGAAGAAGCCCAAUGCCUUUUCUGUCGUCGCCACACCACGCACCGCAUCAAGGUACCAAUCCAUUGCUGCAGAGGAAGAGGCCGCCGUAGCUACCGCCGCCGCCGCCGCUGCUGAGGAAGUGGCCGCCGCUGCCGAUGAAGUGGCUGCCGCUGCCGAGGAAGAGGCCACCGCCGCCGCCAUGGAGGAACGAGGUCGCGAGAAGGAGCGCGGGAACAUUUUCUCCAGCGCGCGCGAGAGAGAAAAACCACGCGAUUGGGAACGAAAUAUUGCUCCUUGGAAGUUGGGAUCGAUAUAUCCGGAGAAGGGAACGAGAUCUUUUGGGAGCAGUGAUAGGGAAUCGGUUGGAUUCAAUUUUUGACCAAAAAUCCUCAAAAUUUAGGAUAGGGAAUGAAAAAGGGAAACUAUUGGUGAUGCUCUUAGGCCUUGUUUAGAGGAGCUUUUAACUGUUGCAGGUUCUCCUAAAAUCAAAAGCUCCCCAAACAGUACAACUUUUGGUUCAGAUUCUGAGAAGCUAUAGUUAUAGAAUCCAGAAAAUGAACUAGAAACCAGAUUCUUAGAAGCUGCCUACCAAUCAGCUGCUUAUCAGAAUCUUAAGCUCUCUCAAAUAGGCCCUCACUAUCAUUUGACAAGUUGCUGACAUGUGGGUCUCAUAGCUCAUAGUAGUGACUCAUGUUAGAGGAGCUUCCUCUGCAAAUAAAAUAUGGCUUUCAUCUUUUGUCCUAUAGCUUACAAGCCACUACUAAAUUUUGAUUUUUAAAACACAUUUUAAAAUUGAAUUUUAUGCUUUUUAUUAAUGUUUAUUUUUAGCAUUGGCUUUUACAGUUUUAUAUGAAUUUACAUAUUCAAAAUUGUACUUCUAUUUGACUUUAUUUUGUGUUAUAUAUGCACUCUUCUUUUUCAUUUUAUUUAUAUUGUUUGACAGGGCUCUAAAUCUCAAAUCGUUGUCUAGAGAAGGUAGAGUUGAAUCAAACACUAAGUGAUAAAAAAAAUAGACACGAGCAAGACGUGGAGCGAAGAUGAAAGCAGCAUUAGAGGCGGGGCAAUCUUGCCUUGCCCUGAACUUAGUUCUACGUCAGUACUAGAAAACCAUUUACAUGUGACUAAAACAAGUUUUCGUAGGCGGCUAACGCUCCGCCUGUAUGCUAAGGCUUGCUAAAAUCAUUGAUUUUUGCAGGCGGAGCCUCCAACCAAUUACAAAAAUCGAUUUUCUCAAAUAGGCAUCCUAAGAGCCCCACCUGGGAAAAUCCACUUUUCACAGGUGGCGCUCUAAUAUCACCCCGCGUGUAAAAGGUAUUUUGGGGCAAAAAAAAAAAGGGGGAAAUGUUCAAUUUUCAUUGCAUGCAAGCAUCAUAUUCAAAUUAGAAUCAGAUCCAUAGACAAACAAGAAAAGACAAGUAUAAACAAGAACAACAUCGAACACAGCUAUAAUUAGAUCCACUAGAACAAACAAUAGGUUACAAACAAGCUGAUGAAUAAUCGGCCUCCCCUGAGCCCGCAGACGAUGAUCCACCUCCCCUGAGCUUGUUGGCAACGGAUCGUCGGCCUCCCCCAAGCUCACCGGCGAUGGAUCCACCUCCCCCGAGCUUGUUCCUAGAAAUCGUCACAUCAUCGAGGUCGUCGUCACCACCCAAGGCUGUUGGCUUCUGAUGCGGCCUCUCGAGGCUCGUCGACUAUGGGCUUAGUUGGUAGAGGCGGGCGGGAGCAGAGGAGGAGAUGCGCCAAACCCCUUCACUGAGCCGCCGCUACGCCCCUCCUUCCCGCUUUGCAGCCGUCGCUGGUGGGCCGCUUUGUUGAGUUGCCGCGAGCCAUGCUCGCUUUGCAGUCACCGCCGCCGGGCCUUUUCGUGGAGUUACCGCUGCUCCAUGCCGACCGGUGAGAGAGAGAUAGGAGAGGGAGAACCGGAGAAGGAGAGGGAGAGGAGAGGAUAAGUGUGGAAGAUGAAGAGGGAGAGAGAGGAGAGGAUAAGAAAGGAGUGGUACGAGAGUGAGAGGAUAAUUUUGGGAAAAAGAAUAUAGUUGGCUGAUUUUUUUAUCUUUGGUAGCGGUGCU
rnacentral:lncRNA from 1 species